ensembl:lncRNA
AGCUGGGGAAGUUAAUUGCUUCCUAUACACACCCCUCCAUGCAGAGCAUAAAAGGGGUGUGCUGGGAGGGUUAUGGUUUGGCAGGAGGAAUGAGAUAGGAAGGAAGCUGUGUCCAGUAGUAGAGAUGAAGUCUGAACGUUCUACUUGCUGGUGCUUGCCCAAUAUUUCUUCAUAUUGACUGGAUUGUGUCUCGCAAAUGCUGCUAAUCCAAUGAACACUGCUUCCUCUUUAAUGUGAGAUUCAGCCACCUCAUUACAAAAACUAAAAAUCUGUCUGUCUGCUAAGGUAAUAAUUUUUAACUGUUUUUGUGUAAGUGAUGCUAAAUACGAAAAAAAAUAAAAUAGCUAUGACCAGGAAGUUGACAUGCUCUUAUUUUGGAUUCUCCAGUACCAGGUUGGAGUUCAUUGUUUCCUGUCCAGUACAUGUUUACGUGGCUGUUGUAGUUUCUUCUGGAACAGCUUUUGUGGGUUUCAGUUCAGGCGGCGAUUUAUGUUGGUGCUGAAAGUACUGCCAGCACAGCUACAGGAGACCUCCUGAGCUCUGGGGCUCUAAAUCUCCUGCCACUUGACAUUAGUGAACAUCAACUCUGUUUCCAUUUUCCACAAGAAGAAAAAAAAUAGACUUUUUUUAAUUUUCCUUUUUUUUUUUUUUUUUAAGCUAGGAGAGAGGUAUGUUAGUAACUGAUACCAAUGUGACCUCUGUCUGACUGACAGAAGGUUCAUCACUGCGUACUAUACCUGUCACCACAGUAAUGUAUGGAGUCUCAGCUGCCCAGUGAUUGCGAAGUGAAAAUUCCCAUCUCUGACCUAUAAGUUGUAACCUUUGGAUGCAUUGCAUGAAAUGCAGCUUCAGUGGUGAGCUGUGCAGUUGUUGACAAGGUGUGGAAAAUGAAUAUGAAAUAAGAUGAGCGUUUUCCAGCUUCCCUAUUCAACAGCAGCUUCUGACUGUCUGUUUAGUGAAACACUACCAAUAUGAUAAAGGAGAUAAAGAAGACCUUUAUUCCAGAAGGUAGCCUGAAAGGAAUACUUUUCUACUGGGAAUCUGGAUCUGGAUACCAAAGGUUUCAAAUGCCUUCUGUGUUUUGCAAAUUAUUAUGUGACAGCUAAAAUUAUACGAAAACAUCUUUCUUUUCUAGAUGAUUUCACAUUCCCAACAAAUUACUUUACUUACUCUUUUAACAUUCAUGUUCUAAUUGUGUAUAGAAUAUAUUAUUUUUUAAUAAAUUUACAAAGCCUGGGAAAAUCCAUGUGGAAUUUGUAUCCAUAGAGGAGUUCUCAUCAAACAACUAAUAUUGUGCUUUUGUCAGCUGAAAGCUGGAAUGGUUCCUACAUAUUAUCACUUGAUUAAAGCACACAGAUAGUGAAUUCCCAAAGAAAAUCAGAAAUUGCAUGAGCAUUUGGUACUGUUUCAUUCUGUGUUCAGAAGGAUACAGGUGGUGAAGCCAAUGAGCUACAGAUUUACUGAGACUAGAUAACCAUAUAUUAAAAACAAACAACAACAACAAAAGAAUCCCAGCUCAAUUCUGGCCGUAUCUAAUAUUAUAAAGUUACUUUAUUUGGUCUGGACUUUAUGAGAUAAAUUAAAUUAAGCCACACUACAUGCAGUCCAUUUUUGUCUUUUAUGGGAGAACCUUUCUAACUUUCUUCUGUGAUAAAGAAAUUCAAUGCAUCCUGUCAGGGUGAGAAGGAAGGAAAUCAGUUUUAUUGAAAUAAGAACAAAAUGAUAGUGUCAGAAACUGUAUCCAAGAGAUAAAAUAUUACAUCUAAUAAACACAUUACAUAUGGGAUUAGACAUGGGCCUCUAGAAUUACAGCACAACAGAAGUUAUAGGAAAACACUAACAUUAGUAUUGAAAAAUAAUGACUAGAGUUCCUAUUGUGGUUAAGAAAGCAAUAUUUGCAUUUUUAUUAAAGGAGCUUAAACAGGAGGAAAAGCUUGCUAUCCUUGAAUGUUAGUUUUUGUUUGAGGCCUAAGUCUGAAAGCCUUGCUCCUGCCUUUUAUUUCAGUGAUCUAAGCAGAAUUACUUCCGUGGGUUACUGGACCACUUGGUGAGUUCAUUAUGUUAACUGAUAAUAUACGGUCUUCAAAGACAAAAAAAAAAUAGUAAGUAACCAUCCAUCGCUUCUGGAUAGCCAACAUUUCUACCUUCAAAAGUAUUUUCCCCUCACUGUCCAUUCAGAGGCAGGUAGCCAAUUUAUUGCCUGGGACUAAAAGCAUGCUACAGAUGUACAGAGACUUCACUACAACUUGAUGUGGCCAACAUUGCUUAAUUAAGCACAUAAUCAAUCACUCAUGCCUUCUCCUCCCUCUUACAUCUCUCCUUAUCACUUCAUAAUUUCCAUAUCCCUGCCAACAUGAAGUGAAACAGCAGCAUCUAAACAUCCACCCCCUCUUUCGUCAGCCCAGCAUUGUGCUGGCUGUUUCUGUAAUCAUAAAACUUGUAAGCAUGCACAGCGUAUACAUUGAAAUGUUACUCCAGAUGCAGCUUCCUUUGAGUUCAGCAGAUCUUCCACCACUGAAAGACCACUUGUCCUGUUUUUUGAAGAAGUUGCUGGUGUAGUUCCAGCAGCUGUUACCUUAGAGAGGAAUGGUGAAUUUGCAAAUGCCAAACUGGAGUGAGGUGACUGGUUCUUAGCACCACUUAGAUUUUUUUAUGACUUUACAGAAAACAUGUGGUCUGCCCAAGAGAGGAAAAAGAAAAAAUAAACAAAAAACCCACUCAUGUUGUCUGGGCAUCCAUUCAGGUAUCUGACUCUGGGCUUGGCGUUCCUGUAACUCUCCUGCCCAUCUAUCCUGUGUUGCAGGGCUCUACGCCUUUAUGGGAACAACUUGGGCAGGCGUGUCUGAUCAGCACUCAAAUAGUGUCAGAGGACAGCAUGACAGGAUGCGUGGCUGUUGCCUCAGGCGAAAAGCCUAGCCACCCGUUUCCAGCUGCCCAUGUGUGUGGCUGGAGAUGGAAGACUCAAGCUUUCUCUCCCACUGUUAUCAGUAUUUCCACAAAGCCGUGGUAACCUACACAUGUUAUGGUGUGCAAAGAACAUGCAAAUCAGACUUGUACUUCAGCAUUGCUUUGCACCUAUGCUUAGAAUGUAGCAAAAAUGUAAUCUCCACACCUAAGUUCUCUACAAAAUAAUGAUAGCCAUCCUUUCUUUCUCACACCCUUUGCAUGUAAUUAUCUAUUUAACAUUCAGAAUUUUUGUCUCUUCCCAUGUUUUCCAGAGCCUAGCACAAUUUGAACCUGAUCAUAGGCAGGAUCUUUGGACACUGCUCUAAUGCAAAUAAUUCUAAUGAUAAGAGUAAUGCCCCAUGGGUGUUACAAAGCUAUCCUAGUAUACAAACCUGAUUGUAAUUUUAUUUAGAUUUUAUAUUACUGGCUAAGGGUGUUUAUCUUCUUGCCAUGUGCAGACAUGUAGUUAGUGCACACUGGCUAUGGGUUUCCAAGAUAAUGCAAUGCAAACAAAUCAUAUAUCGUCUGAGAAUGAGUCAGGCCGACAUUUCAACUUGAUUUGAUUUACUGUCACCUGUGUUGCAAUGACUAUUAGUCUGUUGAAAUAAAAAAAGAAAGGAAAUAAGGGCUUUUAAGGCUGGUGUGGGAAAAUACCUGUUAUAUAAGCAUUUUUGUAUCACAGAAGGAAUAAAAAAAGGGGGUUAGAAGACUUACAGCACUUGAAAUUUAAAAUGUGAUGCCUCCUCAAAAAAAAAAAAAAAAAAAAAAAGUGUUACGUUUGCCUUGAUGACAAGGUGAAUUCCCCUGAUAAGUCUGGUCUGAUUUAAUUCUUGUCCAUGCUCCAGCCUGACUUAGAGUGGUAGAAACAAGUGGAAUUCCACCCAUAGUAAGUUCAGGAUGGUCUUUCCCAAUGCACAGUACUGUAGCAUAGGAAAAACUCCAAAUUCAGGUCUGGAUGGAUUUCUUCACCACUGACGGCUAAUGUGAAAACACUGAUCCAAAUCCUCCUGACUGGUGGAGGGAUCUGACACUCUCAUCUGCCUGGGGUGGUCAGGCUUUGAUCCACGCUGUAAUGCUAAAAACAUAUAGAAGUUUAAUAGCUUUCCAUAUGAAGGCACUUUCAGAGCACAGAGUAGGAAACAGUGCAUUAGGUUGUUUUCCAGGAUGAAUAAUAUAUAUUUUCCUAAAUCACUGCUUGGCAAAAAUUCUGCCUUCACUCCCCUCUAGCCUCAGCCAGGCUGGCACUCCCCUAUGUAUUAGUUUUGUGUUUUGCCGACUGGACCAGGAACUGAAAGCUGUGUCGACUGGUAGUCUAUUUUGCUGGGUGUUUUUGCUGUGGAUACACUCUGAACUGCUGGAAUACCUGCUGCUCUUGAGCACAGAUAACAAGGUAAUGUAAGAAAAGAUUUCAAAGGAGACACACAGACAUGUUGUCUCAUACCUUUUCUGCUCCUCAUUAUUUAAAGUCUGAGAGAGAGAUGUGGGGGAAAAAAGAGCUCUUCACUGGUCCCGUGGGGCUGCAAAGACAUCAGCUCGUGAAUAUUUCACAAGUGUAUCUCUGUCCUGUAACAUUGCUGUACAGUUAUCUGCAGUUCAAAGGUAAGGACAACAAGAGAUGUUGUAUAUUUCAUUACUGAGGCAAGCACAAGAGCUUAAUUUUUGCACUGACAAAAGCCAGUUUUUUUUUUUUUUUUAAUUCAGUUAUUAUGUUAUCUCAAUGACAAUGAGAUAUAGUUUAAAUCUUAAAUCUAAAUCAUUAGUCUAUGAUCUCAGUUUGCUGCAUCUUCUGCACAUCUAGUGAAUCUCUAACCUGCCAGGUACAGUCCAAAGUCAAAGACCUUGUUUUAAACUGCCUCUAAAUGGCAAAUGGCAAGGUUUAUUUUCUGUUUUACAGACUCAGUUUUGGUAUAUCUGUACCGAUUAUGCUUUCCAUAACACUAGCAUUUAAACAAAUUUCAAAUAGGCAGCCCUCUUGCAAGCAGUCCUAUAGUUGUGUAUUUGAAAAUCUUUAAUGGGAUGGUCCAAGACACGGCUCAGAAUAUGUUUGCUGUGGUAACUGUGACUGCAUAAUCUCCAAAUUCUGGGGAGCCUUGCUUAUUUCUGGAGACAAGAAUGUAUUUUCCAUCUCAAUUCUCUUCUCUUUUCCUUCUGUUUCUUCCUCAUCCCGGAAGGAUUUGCCUUUUUCUCUUCAGCUGACUCUGAUUUCAUCGAAGUAGUUUUGAUAGUGAAAAAUUUAGAAGAAAUGGAGCUUGCCUGCAUGAAAAGAAAGGAAAGCGAGAGGAACCAUACAAAGGAAAAGUGAAAUAACAAGCAAAAUGCAAAAUACAAAUUGCUUUUACCCAUCUUGACUGGCAAACAAAGCAAAACAGCAUCAGCAUGCACUGGAGUGCUUUGUAAGAUACAUGUUGUUAAAGAGCCUUGUGUUUUCAGUUAGCUGAUUCUGUAAUAAAAAUUGUUGGUACUGGCAGAAUUGCAUCAUUGUUCUUAGCAAGAAAAAGCAAUUUGGCCUAUUGUUUUCAGAAACAGUUUUCUCUUAUAAAAACAAUAUAGUUGUUUAACCUAAAUAUAAACACAUCUGAUGUCAAUAAUUCUAUAUACAUUACAGACAGUUACAUGGUCUUUAACAACUGUCAGUGUUAACAGAUAAAUUCUACUUUGCUGCAUUUGCUCAUUUAUUACCAAGAUUAAAAGGCACCAUCAUUCCUGUUGGCUCUUGGUACUCUCUGCAGCACUUCUUGGUGCUCUCUGCACACAUGAAGUCUGGCAUUUGAGAGCUGGAAUCUUUCCUCCAUGGGACUAAAAGUGCUGCUGCUGUGACUGUUCCCUUCCAGCCUGACUGCUGCAGUUCGAAAAUUUCUGGGGAUAUGUAAUUAAUAUGUUCAGCACUGAAACACUGUCUAAGAGUGAUAGAAGAAGGGGGAAUGGCUUUAAACUAAAAUAGUGGAAAUUUAGGUUAGAUGUUACCAAAAAAAUCUUUACUCAGAGAAUGGUGAGGUGCUGGGACAGGCUGCCAGAGAAGCUGUAGGUACCUCACCUCUAGAAGCGUUCAAGGUUGGGUGGGAUGGGGCCCUGGGCCCCAGUCUGUUGGGGGGCAGCCAGACCAUGGCAGGGGGUUGGAACUGGAUGGGUUUUAAUGUCCCUGUACUUUGCCAUGAUUAAGCACCUUGUUUCUGAGCAUGGAUGCAACCACAUAUGCACAUCUAGACCCUCUAGGAGACACAGCACACCUAUCAGUUAGCAGGUUGAUUCUGGCUGACAGGGAAAUGCCAAAAAGUACAUUUGUGAUGGCACCUCUUUGUUUUAUAAAGAAAAUGGAGCCCCGGAGAUGAAAGGGGAUCUGGUCACAUGGGCCCCAGCACUGCCGUUCUGAGUCAUGACUGGAGACACAUCAGUAGUAAGACCACAGAUAAUGAGCUAUGGUUGGAUCAAAAUGCUGAUAAUGCAUCAAACUACUUCAGUGCAGAUUUGGAGGCUGCUAGUCAUAAUAUAAUAGAAUACAAUGGAACUCUGAAUAUUGUUACUCAUAGAGAUGAGUGCUCAGGUGCUUACACCUCCAUGAAUAAAACCACAUAGUUCUCAUGGAAGUGGGAUUCAAUAUAAAAUCACUCCAGAAUAUGUCUAUAAGCAUCAAAGACACAAUUUGAUUCCUUUGUCCUUCCAGAGAACUUUCCUUCAGGUUACUUUCAUGUGAGUUUUAAUAGUAAGUCCUAAAAUGCCAGCAAGGCAUCAAAUUGCACAAAACUUCAACUCAAUUUUUCUGUUUUAAAGAGCAUUAUAUUUUCCUUGUUAUUUCUACUUAGAUUUGUAAGGCAAAAAUUAGCAAUUAAAAGUAGUGUUCCUAUACUGUAUCUAAAACAGGUUUAGUGCAUCCUGGUUUAAAUCAGCGGAAUGUUCUUAGGGUGUGGCUGAAAUACCUUACAACUUCUUUAAAAUACCUCAUUCAUGUGUGAUUAAACAGCAAGGCAUUCUGUGAGUUAACAUGACAUUAAUUCUAUAGAAGAAAUAGGAGUUGACUGUUUAAUAGUUUCUGUUUAAUGCUAGGCCACACAGAAAAAUGCCUCUGUGAAUUAUCUAGAGGGCUGUUAGGGAAGGAAAGAUAUUAAUUGGUAUGAUGCAAAGUGGGAGGGACAUGUAAGAAAGGGAAAAUGAAAGGGGAGUACAGAAAACCACAGUUGUAACCAUCUGGUUGAAGAAUUGUUUUGAACUACUCAUCACUGCAAAGUCUUACUUUAUUGUUUGAAGCGUGUUUAGGAGUACCAUUGAUUUAGGAAAAAAAAAUCAUUUUUUUUUAUUAUAAAUUCAUGAUUUAUAUUCCUCUCUCCAUUGGUUUUGGGGAAGAACAUUGAAUUAUUUGGUUAAGCUCUAGGUUUGGGUUGUGUUUUGAGUUGUUUUUUCUGUGUUGUUUUGUUUUGCUGUUUUGUUGUGUUGUUAUCACUCUUCUUUUAAACUCUUUUCUUUUUCUUUUUUUUUUUUAAUAUUUUUUUCCUAUCUUGUUUGUCAGAUGUGAUCAGUGCAGAGGUUUUGAAAGCUCCUAUUCUCAAUGUUAUCUAGCUCUUAUUUGCACAAUUUAAGAAAAAAUGUUUCUAUCUGCAAUCAAUAAAUUAUUUGAGAAGUUAAGUCUCUGUCUUCCAAGCAUGUUUAAAUUUGGCCAAAUCCUAAACAGCAAAGAAGUAACUCCAUGUUUAAAACAAUGUAAAUGUAUCCCAGUUGUGGAAAAGAUUUGACAUGUUGUCAGCAAUUUAUGUCCAAGGAGAAUCUCAGUGUUGUGCAGCUUACAUAUCAUCUUUAGAAAACUGUUCUGUGUUUGUUUGUCUUUUUCUUCUUCUUCUUCUUCUUUUUUUUUUUUUUUUUAAAUAUAAUUCUCAUAUUUUAUCUGAAGAAAUUUUAAAUACUGUAGAAAUGCUAAAUAACUUAGCUUUGCUGGUAGCAUAUUCUCAUCUCCAACAUUAACUUUCCCUUUCAGAAAUGUGGAGUUCUAAUGUGGAGAAAAAGCCACUAGUAUUGGAAAUUCGUUACUCUGUACUUCACAAAAUAGGAAUAAAUUUCGAUCACUGCUUUGAGUGAGGAUGGAAAAAAGUAUGACAUGAGUGUCAGCAGGCUCAGUAACUGAGUUAUACUUCUUUCAGGGAUCAUGGAGAUCAGUAGCUACAAAUACGUGACAGAAGAAAACUGUCAGAAGUUCAGCUCUUGAACUGUUGCAGAGUACAGAUGAUAAGUGAGUUUGUGUAAUCAGAUGCCUUGCAAGAAGCACCAGACCACCCCUCCUUAUGACUGCAGGACUGUUGUGUACAGGCUAUUCCAGGACUUCAGUUCUUCUAGUUCCCAUUUUUAAUCCAGAUGGACUAGGAAAGGAGGGGGGAGAAACACGACUCACCAACAAUACCAUAAACAAAUCAUGCAGAAUAAUGAUGUAGGCUCUACUCAGAUGCAUCACCCUGCUUCCUUUGAUUCUGAUAGUCUCAUUAGUAAUGUUGCCAUUGCUGUGUGAUUUAUUUAGGGGCACUGUGUCUGCAACUGAGCUGUGUGAUCUAUACUAAGCUACAUGGUUGAAUACACCUGAAUAGUGUAACCCUAUGGAAUAUGGAGGCAAUGUGUUGUAACUUACAUAUCUUCUUCUGGAGAAUUAUGAUACAAUCUGAUUUAAUUUUUACCUGAUGUUUCACCUAUUAAAAUGAGACAUUUAAAAAGGGGGGAAUUUGCAGCUGCUGGUUUCUCAGAAAAGAUCAACUGUUUCUGUAAUUAAUAUGGAAGAUAACAAUUUAAAAUAAUGAAACACCCAUAUUAUGUUUGAAGAAAGCAGCUUGUUGUUAUAAUUAGAACUAGAAUCAAAUUGUUCUGAUGGCAAACACCAUUUACUGAACUCCAUGAAUGGAGCAGCUUCAGCAAGCAAAUAACAUAAGUGGGAAAAUACCAGAAACAAAACAGAACAUGGAAAAAUUAAGCUGAUGAGAAAAUCCUACAGCUGAACUUUUCGAGGCCCCCCUCUAAAAGAAUAAUGCACUCGAAGCAUGCUUAUGUUUCUGGCAGAGAACAUGGAGCUAUGACCAAGUUCUGACAUUGUCACAGAUUUCACACAGUGCCAUGAGGACAAUGGACUUCUCAGGAGAUUGCAUUACAUCCUUUCUGUGGCAGUACCGGUAGACAAGGUGAAAAUUCAUCUGUGUCACUUGCUAUUGUUUCAGUCUGCCUUGGAGAGCUAAGGCAAUGGGCCUGCCCUCCCAGCUAAUGUUUCUUCCAACAAUUUCUGCUGUGUGCCUUUUCAAACAUUGGCUGUUUACCAUGUGAAAGCCUCAUGUGAGAAUCUGCAUGUGGGCCCAAACUUGACGUUCUGCUUCUGGUGGAUUUGAGCUGUUGAUUGGUGAUUUCUCAAAUCUUUAUUUCAAUGAUGAAGCUUGAAAAUAUUGUCUUCAGGACAUUGGGGUCACUCUAAUUUGUUUUUCCCUGGGCUUUACUUUCUCUGCUGUGUUACACUGUAGAAGACACAAGAGAGAGAAGUGCUAUUCCUCUCUUGUUUCAAUCUGCAAAAUCUCUGCUUAUUUUGACAAUGAAUUUUAAUUUCCCUGCUUAAGAGACAGGUGAGCAUAGAGGUGGAAUACAUUUUGGGCCUGUGACCCUGACUGGGCUGUGUCACUAGCUGAGGAAUUGGUGGACUAAAAUGAAGUGUUCAGCAACUGUUGGAGAGCAAAACACACAAAAGAAAACCAAAUACUACUUCAUUGGUUUGGUUUCUGCUAAUUACAAACAGAACUCUCAUCUGAAACUGAUAAUGAAGCUCACAGGAUUUUACAGUGGAUCAUAUCUACUCCUAUUGCUACUGGGAUGUCGGGAAUAUUCUCAUUUCUCAUGCCAUGGGAGACAGUGUGAGCAGGGAUCCUUGUCCUCCUCCUCCAAAUAAACCUACUCUGAUAGGAUGGGUUGUACCCUUAGUAGGCUUGAAAUACAUGGAGAUCCAUGGAAAGUAUGUUCCCUUAACCAUUCUUAAAAAUAGGCUUCUGUACAUUGUACUGAUGGCUUGGCAGAGAGGAAUCGCUUUGCUGUGAAUUUGAAGUAGCAGAAGGAUUUUAUGUAUUAAUUCCUUCAUGUGCUUUAAUAAUAGUUUUUAGCAGUGUUUAAUUUGUGCUUGAGCAUUGCAACCAACAGAGAUUGUUCAUUAUUGGUAAGCAUUUGCUUGUACUAACAAGAGCAUAUGUGUAGCAAUACUAUAGCAGAGAAAUACCUGCUUUGGUUUUAGAUUAGUUUAGUAAUGCAUUUUCUUUUCUUACCCACAUUUUCUACACACAUCUUGGGAUCUUCAACAGAUUUUUGUAUUUCUAAAAGGUUUAGAACAUGUCACUUUUAAUGAAAUUUCUUCAUGUCGCUAUAAUUUUCCUGUAAGUUUCAAUUUUUCCUUGGGCACUUUGGCAGCUGAUAUAGUAGGAUCCCAUCCAAAACAACGCAGCAGCAUCCCUAGAAUUCCAUCUUGCCGUGUGACACUGCUGCCGAAUCUGAAAGAUGCAAUUGAAGACUGAAAACCCAGCAUGUAUGAGCAGGAGAAAAGUGCUUAAACCACUGGGCAGAAUAGGCAUACUGCCACACUUAUUGGUAAACAAACUAAACAGGUGGAAACUUCAUUUUUGAAACAGCUUUCCAGGUUCCUUGAGUGCAGAAUUGUUGUAUGACUAUAACUGAUCAUACGAUAAACUUAUCAGACUUCCCGUUUGUCUUUUGUCCUAAACUAUUUGUAAUGUAAUGUGGUAACAGCAGCUGAAUUCCUCCUACUCCAUCCAGAUAUUUACUUGCUAAAUGGUCCUUGUCAUCAUGGUAUCUGAAUGCCUCUCACACACUAAUGGAUUGUAUCCAUAAACUCUCCAGUGAGAGCAAGAGAAUAUUAGCCCCAUUUCUACAAAUGGGAAAAAAGGUAGAAGUGAUACUCUUGUCUAUUCUCUGAGUGUAUCUCAAAGGAAUAACAGAAACUUCUUGAAUUAGACUUCACACCUAGACAGGAACUCAGAAGGGAGCUCUGUCACAACCAUCUCUUUAAGGGACAAACAGCCCUCAUUGUGCAUAGGGUAGGAAAUGACUUUUUUGAGGUUAUACUGGAAAUCUGUGACUGAUGACAGAAUAGAACCAAGGUCCCUUGAGUACUGUAUUCAGCGAGGUUAUGUAUCCAACUAUAAUUUCUAUGUAACACUUAUUUAGUUAAUAACACAAAGUGGAUUUAUUUGUUUGCUUUUUUGUUUUGUUUUUCAUUUUUUCUUUUUUUUUUUCCCCUGAUGUUUUUAUCUUUAAAUGCAUUUCAUGCUUCAGGUUCACUGUAGUUCAAGAAAGUCUAACAUAUAUUUAUAAUGAUCCUGGAGACAAUAUUGUUGUCCAUGAUGUCUGAAGCAGAAAAAGCAGACUUUGAUUUUCAUAAGCUCUAAUGACCCUCCUGGGCAGUUGGAAAUGUACAUUGUUUGAGAUAAUCAGACAAACUGAUUCCAUUAUAAAAAGACGUAUUGUUUUUAUUUUAUGUUUCACAAGCAUUUUGUCUAAUUAUUGCUGACAUUUCCAACCAUAUUGUGAAUUUUUUCAGGGGGAAAAGAAGGAGUUUAUCUCCAUUAAAACUGGAAACAAACUGAUGCUAACUGUUUUUAUAAACUGAAAACACUAAAAUAAAAUGAAAUGCAUUAGAGCAAUUAGGAAGAAUUAUAGCAAAGUCUGUCUCGCCUAUAUUGUUACUUGUGAAAAAGAAAAAAAAAAAGGACAUACCAAAGAUUAUCAUUUUGCAGUAUGAGUCUGUUGUUCUAAAAAAGCACCCUGAAUGUUUUUCAUUAAGCUGUUUAGCACAGGAAAUCUGUUAUUGUUUAACCCUUUCACACACCAAAGUAUUGAAACGCAUUUAAAUGCUGAAAUAUAAAUGCAGACACAUUAUACACAAUCAUUUAAGAUUCAAUUAUUCUGCAUGUUCCCAGUUGUUUUUAUACAUCCUGACAUAAGUUUCUUGGGCUAAAAUACCAUAUAGUAUCUAUCGACAGAGAAGUGCAGUGUCUUAUUUAGUAGGAAUGGUUUGAAGGCAGUGCUGUGAGAUUCUCCAACUUGUGCGCAGUGAUCCUUUUCUGAAGCAAAAGAUGAUUCAGUCAUUGUUAUUGGCUGACCAGCAAGUAAUUGGUUAACACUACAGAGUUUGUAAAUCACAUUGAGAGCUUGAUUGCAAUCCUAUUACUGUGGGGAAGAGCACCGUUUCUCAUUUGUAUUACCUGGAGAUGAAUUCAGUCUUCAAAAUACAGAUAAUUUUUUUUUUUUCUUUACAUUAGGAAGUUGUGAAUCUAAUACCUGGUUGAAAACAAGGGCAGUUUGACAUAUCUGGCUGCAUCCUGCUGUACUUUAGAUAUAGCAAUCAUGAAGAACCAAAGCAAGGUCCUACUCCAGGUAUAGCUGCAGCUGUGAUUGGUCUCAAAAAGUGACCUGAUAUCUGUCUUAACAAAAAAAUAAAAAAUAAAAAAAUAGUUAAUUCUUAGACAGUAACCACAGACUAAGUAUUUCUGAAGUUUUUCUUGUCUACUGAUUUUUGUCCUGGUUGUCUGUAUAAUCUUGUCCCUGAUCUUCCUUGGAGAGCAGAUUUUCUUAUGAAAGUGUGCUUUAUUAGUAAGAAUCUUCCCUAGGUUUUCCACUGCUUUUCUAGGAGCAAAUUUGCUAGAGUUAAUGUAAGUCCAGUGCACUGCCUCCUCAAGUUUAAGGGCUACCAUUAUGACUGGAGUAAAUCUGCUAAAAUCUAUUGGUGCUAAUCACUGUUCUUGAUAUUAGCUGUUACACUAUCUGUCUCCUUCAAAGAAAGGCCUGCUGAGCACAUUUAUCCAAAAUACUCUGUAGCUCCUGCAGUCAAACACAGCUAUUUGGAAAGGACAUAAUCUGUUUGUCUUGAGAACUUUGCCAUGUACUCAUAAAUCUUGUGAAACAACUAUACAUCUGGGUUGCACAGGACAUACCAGACUGUGAGAUAAUGCAACUGGAGAGAUGUUAACACAGCCAGGUAAAAAAAUAGAUCUUUAAAAAACAAAAUCUAGGCUGACUGUGGUUUAUUAUUCUACAAGGAAAAAAUGGAAAUAAAGUAGUGUAAUUUUAAUUAGGCUUAUUAAUCUUGGCAUCUACCCAAGUUAUCUCAGGGACUUUUGACAACUGUAGUUCCAGGUCUUUGACAGUCUGUCAGGUUCCUCUAUGGGUGGUUGCAGACGAUAUUUCCUUUAUAAGUCGUGAUAGAUAAUUUCUCCCAGGAUGUAACUGGGUGGGAGCACUUUCAUUAUGAGACAUCUAAAAGAUUUCAUUUUAUUGUUUCUGAAUAGGAAUUGCAGAAAAAGAUAUUCUACAAAACGUUUGACAUUUUGAAUUUAUUUUCCUGGUCUGUGAGAAAAUCAAAUGCAAGAAUACUGCCUUAUUAUUUGGGAUGGAUAUUCAAUUUUUUGAUCAACUGAACAGUGAGAAACUGAAAAUUGGUCAUGAUUAAUGACAGUGUUACUGAUCUUUUUCUCUAUAUUAAAAAGAAACCCCAGAGUUCAAAAAGAGAAAUAGUAGAAUGUAAAACUACAAAAGUAAAAGGCUAAUAUUUUGUUCCAUGUUUUUGUUUUCUGCCUCAGGAAAUGUACUGCAUACGAAACAUAGUUAAAAAAAAAGAGAGAGAGAAAGAAAAAGGAAAAGAUUAUUUCUUUGAAGACAGCAGACAACACAAUUUUAGUAAAUAUAAUAUUUAUAGGACCUUGCAAUUAAUUUACAAAAAUUUUACAUCAAAAAUGUAUGCUGAUGAUUUUAGUCUUUAGGGACGACAAUUGUCUCCUCAGUCAUGUUUUCAUACACUAAAGGCAAUUAUUGUUGCUUCUAGCUGUAAUAAAAAAAUAACCAAAACAGAUAGAAAUGUCUUAGUAGAAAUUGAGCUGAAACUCCCACUGUGGAAAUAAUCAGAAAAUUAAAAGCUCUGCAAUCUUGCAAAUAACAUUGCAACUUAAUAUUAUUGGAACAUAACAUUAUUAUCUCUUUUUAUAGGGGAAACAAACAUAAAUAUGUUUUCAAACACUGCUGAUGUUAUGGUUUCUCUUUAUUGGCUGACAGAAAGGAAAGAAAAAGGAGAAAAACAAUAAAUUUUGGAGUUGCAUAUCAAACAACCAACUGGGAAUCCAUGAAAAAUGAUCAGCAGUGGCAGGAGUAUAUUCUUGCCACCAUUAGGUCAGCAUCUUCUCCACUGAACUGUCUCCACGACACCUAUGAGACAUGGCCCAUCUGCCAUCUGAUAGGUUUUAAACUAAAUGUUAUUCAUGUUUGGUUCACUUACUCCUUUAUUAGCUACUGUUAGCUUCACAAUCUGAGCAGGACAGUUAGAAACUCAGAGCAAGAAAGGCAACUAUUUUUUUUUUUUUUUUUUUUUUUUUUUUGAUCUUCUUUGACUGAGCAGCAGCAGGCCAUAAUGUAGUCUCAAAUUAAGAGAAAUUUACAUCACCCUACUUUUUUCUUCUUUGAGAGUAAACCCACUUUCGGGUCUAUUUCUGCUAGAAACAGACAUCUGAAAUAGCUCACCAGCCACAGUGGGCAGACUCUGAACUCCUGGCUGUGUGAAGUCCACUGAAUCCUAUGGUUCUCUACUGCAUUUAGUAACGGCUCAAAUCCAUUAAAGAAGUUGCACCCCCUUUAUGACAGUGCGACAAAAUAAAUUUCAGAUUUGAGCCUCCCAGAAUUAUACUUCCUGCAGCCUUUGUUAAUGCUUCUAGCUUACAAGUUAAUUCAAAGUGAAUACUUAUGCUCUGUCCUAAUGAUUAUUGGUAAAUGUUAUGGGUCUUUUACUUCACCUGUGACCCUAACAGAACAGCUUUAAAACAAGUCAUAAUUGUUCUUCCUGACACCCAUACAGACUUUAGGAACAGAAUCAUCUAAGCAAGUCUGAGAGGUGAUAGGAACCAAACUGAAAUUCCACCUGACCAUCAAAUCAAAGCCAGUCAUUUUCUUUUCAUAUCACAGUAGAAGCAUCUCAUGAUCCACAAAGAUUUUUCAAAAAGUAAUCCAAAGGUGUGGAUGAUCAUGCCAGUGCAAAGUAACCUCUGAGACCUCACUCAGUCAAAAGUUAGGCCAUAUUGUUGGCUUUCCUCUCUGUAAACAAAGUACCUUAAAUAUCAAUAUUAAUUUAUAUCCUACCAACAACAAACCAAGGGAUGCUCCAACAGUGUCUUAAGAAGUUAACUUCCAUCAGGUGGAAUUUAUCAGCCUUCAGAUGAAAGAGCAGCUGAAUGCAUGAAAGCUUUUAUAUUGCAGUUUGUGCUGGCUAGGUUUGUUCUACUGCUAGUAGGGACAGUGUGCUUGUGUGGAUAUCUUAUCUUGGCUUACAGUGUGUAUCUUCUUGCACAAGGGUGGUAAUUGCUAACUUGACUGUUAGUGAUCAUAGGCACAUAUUUCAAGAAUUAGAUCGAAGUCCCUCUUACAGUAACGCUCUCUAGGGAAGCAUUGUCAUUUUCUGAAAUGUUUUUUAGGGAAAUAAAGGAAAACUAGGUAUAUUUUUUCACUUUCUAUUUUAUUUUUGAAAACAAGGUAUUUCUGAUAAUCCCUAAUACUCAGGAAAGUUCAAAUUAAAACCAGCAGUGCAGUACUAAACCUACAACUUCCGGAGUGAGAGAACCUGGAUUUGAGAGGAACACAUUAAUGUAGGCAAAAGAAAAGGUACAGAUAAGGUGCUGGUAAGAGACUUGUGGACAACAUGAGAAAAAAAAUAAUAAUAAUCAGGUGUGAGUAGCAAAUGAUGAAAAUAUAAUAAUGCCACCUUUGUCUGGACAUCAGUGUUUUUCGAAGGAUGUUGAAACCUACUCAUAUCAUAAGGUCAGUUUGGGAAUGAAAAGGAGUAUCUUCUGUUCCCGGUUUAAUUUCCCAGUAACUGGCAAUACCUACAGGCAUUGCUAUCUAGUAUCUGACAGCAUCUAGCAUCUAAAUAUGAUAGAUAAGAGCCUGGCAGACAGGCAGGGGACUCCCUCCCUCUGUUUAUUCAUGUGAAAUUGGGAGGAGAGAAAAACCUCCACAGGAUUUCUGACCCCCUCUUUCAGCUCCACCCCUGUCAAAAGCUGAAACUAAUGAGCUGGAAAUAGGAAAUGUGCAAAAUACCUGACACUUCCCUAUCUGAACUGCAUUCCUUAAGAGUUGUUUUUUUUAUUACUAGAUAAAUGCUUUGACAUGUGUAUUUAUGUGAAGUCUGAAUGUGAUUUAGAUACCAACUACCUGCUGAGCUAAGAAUAUUUGCUUCCUACUUAAACCAAUAUGUUUAUUUAAAGGAUCUUUAAGUUUUAAAAUGCCCUUGGCUUCCAUCUCUGUAGAUGGGUAACCUUUGUAUGUGGAAUGCGUUGUGCACUCCACUUGUUAUUAAUAUAAAGUAAUAUUUUCCUUUUGCUCUGCUCCAUUCUUUCCUUUAGGAGCCUUUUUACUGUAGCAGACUCACAAAAAAUGUGCAUAUGCAUAUUUGGAAAAGGACAGAAAAGGUUGAUUCUCAGAGCUUCUUCUUAAAGAUGAUGUCCACCAAUCUUGCUUAAAUAGCAAACAAAGGGUCUUUGUUACUCUUGCAGAGAAUUAUUUUGAGAGGUAGGACAUUUCUUUUGUUCUGUGUCUUUGUGCACAGCACAAUGGGGCUAGAACUUGUGGAUGCAGCUUUGAUGUAAAGAAUAAAUGGCAAUGUACAGACCGCAUGAGUUAAUUCCUGAUUUUUAUUUAAAAAGGUCUCAUAACUCAGAUUUGUACUUUCAAGGUAAAUUCCUUGACUCCCUACUCCCUGGUUAUUCGUGUUUAACACAACUAUCCCUUUGCUCAGAUGAAGUUCUCCCUAAAUUUGAAGGAACAAAUGAAUAAGAAUAUGCGGAUUUGUAACCAAAUGCAGAGAUUCUUUAUAUUUACUUUGAAAUUUGAAGAGCUAUUUUCAGGUUCUCUGAUCAGGAAAUGUUUAGAAGGCAGCUAGCAGUUAGAAGGCAUGGUCACAUUCUGAAAUUUCUAGCAAAAAUCAGGGUACCUUUUUAAUGAAAAUUCAUCUUGUAAAUAAAACCAUCAAUAUAAUGUAGGCUAAUCCCUUCUAGAAUGAAGUCCUCUGAAUGCAGAUGCAUAUAACAGGAUAUUUGGGUUCCUGUCAACAACAUCACUGACACAUGUGCUUUAAGGCUUUCACCUUCUAAGCCUUUCACCAGCAAUCUACAAUGCAAAGUUUUGAAGGCAAUUACUCUUUCUUUUUAAUUUGAGCCCACAUUCAAUUAAGUGGAGCCGAAUUGCUCACAUCCUUUCAGCCAAUUAGUCACAGGCUUAAGUUUUUGUUUUGUUUGUGCUUCUUUCCCUCUCCUCCCUGCCCCCUCCAGAGAUAUUCCCUCCUUGGAUUCCCUAACUAACAUAACCCAAACUGUCAAAACAAGUUUCUGGGUGUUAAGGCUUCAGACAGCAAGCUCUAAGCACCAAAUCCACAGCAAAGCAGGUGCACCCUUUGGAAAACAUGCAGUGUUUGGGGUUGGGAUCUGUCCUUGUGGGCAAACCACGCAACUGCCUUGGGGUGACAGCAAGUGGCAUAGCAGCGAGCGGGAUCUUUGUGCAGAAGACACAGUGGCAUUCACAGCUGAGCUGAAUCAGAUUGAAAAGGAACUGUCAAGUGCUGUGCGUGCCGUAAUUAACCUUUUUCAGGUUUCCUUCCCAUCUUUUAACCAAGCAUCCUUGCAGGCUAUUAUGCCCUAAAGCCCAUAAUGAUAUAAAGCUGUGAUGAUGGAGCACUGACCUCUCCACUCUGCUCGGAUCUGACCCGUAAUGUUUUGAGUAGCGGAGAUCUGAGCAUCUACUGAUAUUUUCAUACCUCUGUAAGAAGUAGAAGAAAAACCCACUUGACUUAUCUGUUGCAUAUUUCCACACCAAAAACUGUUAAAUGACAUUUACUGGGGUAGAGAAAGGGGUUCCAGGGCUCAUUUUUAAUGUAAUUGUUAAUACAAUAAUUUAUUGAGACUGUUCCCCUGUGGUGAAAUAAUGAAAAGUAACUGAAAAGGGCUGCAAGGGCAACUUGUGAGUGAAGGAUUAUGUUAAAGCAUUGCCCCCCUUGUGAUUGCUUCAAAUAUUUGUAUAAUAUAGUAUGUUGCCCUGAAUAGUUAUAAGUCAUAAACACUGAGCAGGACACAUUAGUAAGAGAUACUCAUUCCAAAGCAAAUAUUUCACUGGCAAUUAAUCCACGAGGUGAUAAGAAAGAUUUUGUGAAGAUUUAACAUAGGGGAAUUUAAAAUAAAUAAAUAAACAAAAAGAGGUGGGACAGGAGUCGAUUUUAACUAUGGUUUUUGUUUGUUUGAUUGGGUUUUAAGGUAGGAAAAAAAAAAGAAAAAGAAAACCUGCAUGACAUGGCAAGAUCCUUAGGAACAUACGUGGUUGCAAGCUGCUAAUUCCAAUUAGACAAAUCACAUACUUAAAGUUAGCCCAAGAGCCUUGCAGAAUCUGAUCUAGAAAACCCAAAUGCUUUUAAAACUUAGGAUAUGGCUCAAAGGAACAUUGUAAAAAAGGUUUUUUAAAGAGAGUAAAAAUGCUAAUCUGUCUAUUGGGAUUUUAUUUCUUUUCAUUAUGUAAUAGUUAAUAAUAUUUGAUUAAAAAUCCACAUUUGCAAUUAUAGUCUAGAAAUUUGCACAAACUGUUUGCCAAAGUCAUUACUGCAGUUCUAUAGUAACACCUUAUCAGUUUUGUAAGGAAUGCACUCUCCGAAUUUUUUCUGUAAAGUUGUUUCAGAAAAGCACUGCUGCAAUCACGUCACUUUUCAAAUCCCGCCCCUGACUCCUCUCACUACUACAUCAAAUCAAACAAGUUCUUACCCUGAGCUUGAGCACGCAGUGAACUUCACAUAACUGAGCAAUCACACGCAUAGGGCUGUUCACAUCCCCGUGGUUUUGCAGGUCCGGGGGCUAACUUUUCAUUAGCUCCUGACCUCUCUUCGUGGCUCACUCUGAACUAUUCUCAGCCAUCUUUCUUGUUCCCUGUGUGCAGACCAUCCACCUCACAUUGGCUGGGAAAAACACCCUUACAAAUUUUUUUCCUUGAACCCACUCCUAGCACGAUCCCUGCAUGAAACUGCUGGCUAAUACUGCCUAAAUAAAUGGCCAGGAGCAAUUCUGGUGUGAAGUUUUAGUUCCACUUAAUUUACCAGGGCAUCCACAUCACUGUCACAAAGAUUUCAUUCUUGAUCGUAUUGUUUUGUGUAUGUCUAUUUUAAUUCUUCUACCCUCUUCCCUUCCCCCAGUCUUACUUAUUUUAUUUUUAAUUGUUUUUACACUCGUUUGUUAUUCCUAGAUGCAUUCAGCAUGGCUGAAACUGGCUGUAUUAAGUCCUUUCAUGUCUUCCCCUUUCCCUGAUGGAUUUAAUCAUAAAUAGCUAUUUCAGAGAAUAUUUUCCGUAAGAAAUGCACAUGUCUAAGGAUAACUUUGUGGGUUUUGAUAAAGAGACAUUACUGUGAGCUGUAAAGGCUUCAUGAAAUCAGGAAGGGCUGACAGCAAAGUCCUUUGUUUUAUUGCAAAUAUCUAAGACCACAUAACUGAUAUAUGGCUGGCUUCACAUAUGGCUUGCCUUUCUUGCCAAGUCUACUGGAAGACAAGAAGACUGAUCCAAGAGUUAUUUUUUGCAUGUGCUUGGAAGUCCUGAUUGCAGAUUCCUCCUACAGUAGGGAUACACUAUUUCAGUAUCAGCUUUAUUGCACCAUGCUGAGAUUUUACAUCUUUAACCCUAUGUGCCUUGGCUGGCUUUAAAACAGUAAUUAUUUAAAAUUAAAGGAAAAAAAAAAAGGGAGGAAAAGAAAAAAUGAGCUAAGUAAAACAGCUAAAAGUAUUUAUCUUGCUCUUACUAUUCGGGGUAAAACUUCCAUUCAUUAAAAAAAGGACUGAGAUUCCACUGCAGUCCCUGCAGGGCUGUUAAAGAUGACAAAGUAAUUUGAUAAUACUCUCUAUACACUGGAUGUGUUGCAACCUUCAGUGCUUUGCCUUCCCACCUGACCCCACAAGCACACCUUCUGGAUCCGUCACUGGGAGAUGGGGAGGAUCUGUGGGACACUAAUUCCCACUGACAGCUCCCAUUCUGCAUACGGGAGGCUGCUCCCAUUGUUCCUGGAAGCACUUCUCUAUAUUAUCCACACUGUGAUAGCUGUUCACUGCUUCUCCAUGUCUGGACAGCCUGAUGAUAAUUUGGGAAACAAAGCGGUUCUGUCAUGUUUGUUGGUAUUUUUUUUUUUUUUUCUCUCCUGAGUUUUUUUUUGUUUUCAUUUUCAUUUUUCUUUUACUGUACCUGCAUUGUUGAGUGAGGUUUCCUAAUGUAAUCUUGGUAGCAUUUGCUUAGAGGUUGUCAUGCCAAAGUAUGAGGUGUGAGAAAGAAAAAGAAAUAUCUGUGAGCCAACAAAUAACAUUGAAAUGUAAAAAAAAAUAAUCCAAAGAAUAAUAACUUAUUCUUUACAGUCAGACUCAAAAACAGACUUUGAUGCACUUACAUCCUUUUGUCUUUACUGUUGCAUGAAUAUGGGACAGACUUGAUUAGAGUUUUCAAGGUUUUUCCUUGAAUUGGUGAAAUCUCACUGACGUGAUGUCCUCUGCCACUCUUUUAAAAAGCAUCCAACGUAAAUCCAGAGUUCCUAUAGUGCUGAACACUUCUCCAAGGGCCUGCUUUUUGGAACAGCUAUCCAGACAAAAGGAAAACGUAUGUAUAUGUUGCCUCCUUUCAUGGAUGGAAAAGUGAGAUUUGUCCUGUGUCAUAUUAGGAUCCUUCUAGUUCCCAGAAAAGUCAUCUACUCUCAUGUCUAUACACAGUUAUGGGGCUGACACAGAAACAUUGUAUAGCUGAUAAUUUCAGAGCAUUCUUUUGCUAUUGGUUUUGUACUAAUGCAGGAUAAGAAAUAUAUAAGAAACACAUGAAUAUUAAGAAUAGUGCUUGUCUGCCCAUCUGGGGAGUGAGAGCAUCAAAACCUUUUAUGACCACUUAUGUCAUGUGUGUUUGAAGGCACACAUCAUUCGAGUUUCUGCUUUCAUAAACAGACAAGGCUCCUACAGCGUAACCUAAAGACUUCACACAACUGGUGCAAAAGGCCACAACAUUAGCAGCAGAGCAGGAUGCAGAAGUCCAGAGUCUAAAGUGCUUUUCAUCAAAUUUAACCUGGGGUAAGCACAGAAUUAUAAAUGAAAAGGGAGAUUUAUUUUAUUCUUUUUAAUGGAGAAAGCUAUAAAAGGAAAGAAGCACACAUAGAAGUAGAAAUGGAAAGAUAGUGAAGCUGACACUAACUGCUAUCACAUGUGAACAGGAGCAGCAGGAAACACAGAAGACACUUAAUGUCAACUGCUGUGGAAAAAGAAAACUACAGCCACUCUUGAAGAGGAGGACAUACAGCUAUACUUGGCAACUGCUGUGAGAAUUGCUAAUAUGUGUAGCUGGCUGAGACGAGAAUGAACCAUCUUGUUGGCACCUUUUCUGUCAGGAAGGCAAUAGAAGCCAAUAUAAAAUGGAUUAAGAGGGCUUAAAUUACAAAAAAAAAAAAAAAAAAAAAAAAAAAAAAAAAAAAAAAAAGAAUUGGCCAACAACUCAGUACAAGCUCUUUUAAAAAUAGAGAAACAAUGAUUCAGAGACACAUUAAUUGAAAUUUCUCAUUUAAAGACAGGAGUCUUACUGGAAGAAGAGUAAAGGACUAAGACUCUUGACUCUGUAGCCCAGAAGACAGUAAAACCGACACAGUGCUUUGUCAGACAAGAUACCUGGAUCUCUGCCGUCACCUCCUCUGCCUGGAGAAGGAGUUAGUUAUUUCCUUGCUAGAUGAAAAUAGCUCUAUCCAGAAGAUGUUCUUUCUGCACAUUGGCUGCUUAGGAAGGACAGACCACUCUCCUGAGAUUACCUUGUACUUUAUUUAUUAAUUAUACCUAUUGCUAAAGAAUUUGACCUGGAGUUUCAAGCAAAGGUGGGAAUGGGACUCACAAUGAAACAAGGUUCUUGGGAUAGAGGGAACAGCGCUAUGUGCAGAUAAAUUUUUACGUUGGUCUUGUAAGGUAAAGGUGCUGCAUUUGAUGAAAUACGCCUAUGAGUUCUUGGUAAAGAUCUCAGCUACCCUCAUUACAUUCAUAUAUCCUAAAGAUGCAUAUUAUCUACCUUCUUCCAAGCACUGAUAUUGAAAAAAAAUUGUUCACUACCUCACCAAAGGAGCUUGUUGCAAAGAACUUGCAGUAAAUAGGGACAGGUGAAUAGUAUGUAAUUAUGUUCUUAAAGGAAUUUUUGCUUGAUAUUACCUUCCAGAUUCCCCCUCCUCAAAUAUCAGUUAUGGUUGUAUUUUUGGAGGAUGAUGCUUAUUUCAUUUGAUUAGAAUUGGAAUAAGUAAAUUGAUAUUACAUCGUCGCAGUUCUCUUCCCCCCCACUCCCCUCUACUCCUUUUAAUUUGAAUGCCUUAUAAAGUAUUACAUGUUAUAGUUCAUUAGGUUCUCAUUGAUUGGACAUUUACUAGCUUCCUAAGCCUGUUUCAUUGUUCUGCUGCUGUGCUUUCACCAUUUGGUAUUCGGCACUCUGCAUAAUGAAUAAAUUACAGUUGAGCAAACGGACAUCACCAUAUGGGGGUAAUUUGUACUUUGACAGAAGGACAGAGCUCCUGGACUGGUCCUAAAGGGAAGCUCUGCAGUUUUCAAAAAUCCCCCUAUUUUUUUUAAAUUAUUUACUUUCAAAAGGCCCUUCCCGUCCCCAGUGUAUGCAGAUAGGAACUUUGAAAAGCAGUAAACUGGGGACCAGGCAUACAAGUUCUAAUUUUAAUUGCAGGGUUUCUUAGAUGCAGAUGAGAUGGUACAUACACUGAUUAACACCUUCAUGACUAAGGGUACUUGUGUGCAUUCUGGCAUCCUGGAAUAAUAUGACUAUGUGGAACAUUUUAAAAUUUAGUAACUUCGUGUUCCCUGCAUACUGUCAGAGAAUAUGGGAAAUGAAUUUUGGAAGCAAUCUAAAUUUAUCAUUGGUACUGGCAAGUAGCUGUUAUCUGGUCAUGCAGUCAUACAUUUUUUUUACAUGAGAGAAAGUAAUAGAAUAAUUCUAAAAACUAAAAUAAUUGAUUUAUGCUGGUAUCAACGUAGACACAAUAUGCAUUCCACAGCAGACAGUUAUAAUGCCACUCCAUUUUUACAGGAAAAAACUUACCUUAACAAAAGUAGAAGGAAGACUGUGGUCAAGAGCAAAAUUCAUACCCCAGCCCUAGAGAAGAUCACACAUAGUGUGUAUAAAUGAACAUCUUCCUUUCAUUUGUCACUUGCACACUUUGUCAGGACCCUUGAAGCUGCCUAUUCACUCCCCAUUAGACUUGUUCAAGAUCCAAAACAGUUCCUGCAGAAAGAGAAUUUAGCAGUAUUUUAAAUGAAGCUUUUCUCCUAACAAUUUCUAAACUUGUUUGAGAUGCUUUUUCUUACCCAACGUGUCUUUAUUUCAUGUAGUUCUGACACUCUCAUACUGAGGUUAAAAAUAGUGAGCUAAAAUAUCCAAGCUGCUAUAUAUUGACAAAGUUUUCACACCAGCUACUUCAUGACAUCAGAGAGAUAUAUUUCAGAGGAAAAUUUCCUUUACCUAUAGGAUUAUCUCAGCUUUUCAUCUACUGAAUUCAGCGUGCCAAAAAUAGCUUUCUGUUUUCCUCUGUAAUUUUUUUCCAUGUUAGAAGUGGGUCCCAAUUUCCCGCUCACUUUGUGGUAUUCCAGGAAGUCUCACGUGCAGACACACUCCCCUAUGAGAUGAGAAACCAUAUACUUUCUUGAAACAGAAUUGGUAAAACUCAGACUCCAGUCUUUGCUUUAGGAAUACAUCUUACCUAAUUUUGAUCGAUGAGUCUCAACGCAGUUACUUAAAAGGAGAAAACACCUCUGUAGAGUGAAGUCAUACAUUCAUCCUUUAAGUUCCUUACAGCUCAUUCAGAUCAGCUGUCCCACCCAAAGUGAAAAAUUUGUGCAAGUAAUUUAUUUCAUUUUUCCCUCUCCACCACCCAGACCACCUGCAGCACAAUAUUGGCACAGUAGAUCUGUGCAAGCAAUUGCUUUAGUUCUUAUUAUAAGCAAGAAGAAAUUCUCAGAAAUUAAGAAUUGAAGUGUUUAAUUGCCAUCUUUUAAACAUGGGAUAAUCCAGAUUGACCCCAAGUGUUAAUACCACUGGAGCACGAUCAGAGAGAGCAAAGCAAGCAACCCAUAUUCAUAUCCAUAAGCUCUGGGUGUAAUCCACAGCAUAGUGAAACAGAAUCUAUUCAAGACUGACAUAAAUGGCAGCAGGGAAAAAAAAGAAUACAUAUUUCCAGCCAGACUGGCCACUCUCCAGGCAUUUAGUAGCUGGUGUUCUGUGGCUAAUACCUUAUUUAGUAUCCUUUGCUUAUUCAGAAACAUUGGUGAUUACUUCUGUUUCAUGAUUCUGACUGAAUUUUCUUCCCAGGUUUAAAAAGCUUUAAAAAACACAGUAAAUGGGGGGAGAAGUACAGAAGACAGCCUGGGAAACAUGAAGUCCUAUAGGAGUGCUCUGGUUCCAAAUUCAUUGUCAGUGUAUUUUCUAAGUCAUUCUUCCAGAGACCUCUCAUUUGCUGGCUAAUGCAAUUAAGAGCCAGCUCUGUGAUUUAACAGCCUCACUUAAUGCUAUGAAUAUCAAAGUAACAGGCUGUAAUGGAUCUGUAAAACUGUACAGAGACCAUUGUCAACUCUGUGAGGUUGUUCAUGAGCCUCCUGGUCAGAAACAAAGAGUAAGUUACCAGCAGUAUGAAGAACACAACUAGAGUACCCUUGGAAAUUGUUAACAGUUUUAUCUGCAUUCAGAGCUGCUCCUUUUCUCUCUUUAAAUUCCAAAGCAAACCUCACUGAAAAUAAUUGAACUUUUGUUUUCCUUUUUAUUUAUUUAUUUAUUUAUUUAGUAAAUGCUAUCGUCUUUUCUGUUAAGGAUGAAGGGAAAUUGAAAACUUUAAUGAUUUCUUUAAAAUAUCUUUUAAGGGAAAAAAGCUCUGAUAUAAGUUUACUGAUACAAUUUCUGUAGCUUUUCAGAUAUCUAUAUUUCAUAAUGUGAAACGUUCUUUUACAUUCCUUGCAUGUCUCUGUGGAGUUCAAAUCUCAUGUAAUCCUCAUUUACUGGGAGUAAGAGAGGUGUAACCCGCUCAACUCUUGACUUUUGCACACAUAAAGCAGAGUUUAUAUACAAAAGUGCAAGCCUUGAUAGUUAUAAUGAGGUGGUAAAAUGUGAAGAUGCACUAUUGUAUCAUUUCUGGGUACCUCAUAGAGGGUACAAGUACAAAACUGCCAGAGGAAUAAGCAGGGCCAAUAUCAUUUAUAAAAGAUAAAAUCAGAGUGUGAAUUGCAAAGGCGUUGUGAAUAAAUUAAAAGAUGAAGUAUGAGAACUGAAUUUGGGAGACUGGUCGCCCACAAUGAACAGGUCUCCCCCAUACAGCCUUAUCUCAUACUUGAAGACUCUGAUGCAGCUGUCUGCAUUAAUAUAUUCUUCACUAGAAGGAUAUAAAUUUAAAAUUAAAGCAAUAUCCCUGCUCUCUAAUACUCAGAAAUAAUAAUAAUAAGAAAAACUAAAUAUCGUCUGAUUCUUUCAAUUGCUUGCUGCUGGAGUAGUAGUAUCUUGAAGUAUUGGUUAGAAAGAUGUUGAUGGAUUUUUUUAAGAAAUGUUUGUCCACAAAGCAAAUAUCUAAUUUUCUGGGGAGUGGUCUCAGAAUCUCUCAAUUCAUGUGUUCAUUCAUAUUAAUAUUUGACUUUAUUUAUAUGAUCUUGCAUAUAUUGAUUAUUAAUCAGUCACAGCUCUCUCCACUCACUGUGAACAUUAUAAAUGAAAACAACAUAAGACACUGCUUACUUAAAAUGAUCGCACUCCUACACCACAACUGUCUUUAAAUUCUAAUUUAAUUUUAAAUCAAACAUGCAAAUAAUAUUAAGCUUUUCAUUGUCUCUGCAAUUUGUUCAUAUCACUCCUUCCUGCCCCAAAUUUUUCUAUGUAAUAAACCUAAACUUUAACAUUUUUGCAGACCAGAGUGGAAAUUCUUAAGUUACUGUGAUGGGACACUCUUCCAGACAUGUUUUUCUGCACAGAAGAGCAGUGCCUACUGAUAUAAAAUUCUCUGUGACACCAUUUUUUUAAGAUACUUGCAGUUUGUGUCUGGGCAGGUGGAAUUGAAGACAUUACUGAUGCAACUAGUGGCAUUUUAUAUUAGAAGCUAGUUUAAUCCUCAAACUUCAAAUCUAAAAUUUUCCAAAAUGUGGGAAUGUGAUGGUUGGGAGCUAGUUUUUACAUUUAUGGGCAACCGGUAUGAUCUUACCUGAAUGAAACUCCAUGAUAUACCUUCAAUAAGAACGUAAAGCCUCCAUUAUCAAAUCAUGUGUUAUGAUGAUACAGAAUGCAUUUGGCUAUAUAUAGACCUAUAUAGCUGUGUUUAAAUUAGAAGACAUCUCAGACAUCGUGGUGAAUCUAGCAUCUGCUUGAUCCAAGCAACUUUGUUUGUCAUAAGGCAAGAUUUAUAUCAUUCUAAUUCAGGUACCAACUCUAUCAUUUGAAGAGAUCAUGCUUCAGUAAGAGGAAGACUAUUGGUGUCUUACUGCAACACAGAGAAUUCUGGGCAAGCAAGCAAUUAAUUUUUUAAUGCAAUUUCUUAUUUCACUGAAAUGAAAUAUACAAUCUGAUUUUCAAAUUAAGAGUAAACUAUUAAUUAUCACAGAAGUAUGAAUAUACAAAUAUAGCUCUUAGAUAUGCUGUGGUUUUCACAGAGAAUUAGUGAUUUUGGACUCACUUGGUACAGCAAACUCAGAUCAGACUAGACAAUAAAAAACAUGGCCUUCUGAAGUGGCCCAUCUCUCUCUUAUAGAUUAUUCAGCCUUCUAUCAAAGAUUGUUAUCAAUUCACACAGUCUUUCAAAGGCAGAAUGGGUGACUUUGACUUUGUCAAAGACUGGAUUGUAUUAACUGAAGCCCUCGCAAGUGCCUCUUCUGUAGCAAACUCUACAUUUUGGGGUCAGAGGUGAGCUCUUAUUUGAGUAGGAGGAAAAUUGUUAAUGAAAUUUUGCUCAGUGAGCUGUGUCAUCCUUUAUUCUUGCUGUGCUCCAGGCAGGUCCACACUGUCAAAUAUCAGAAGAGGCUGGAAAUGAGUGACACAUGUCUUCAAGACCAGAAAUGACAGUGACCUUCCAGCUCCUUUUGCGAAGUAGCAGGGGUGUUGUACACAGCUAUUAAGACCAGAAAUGAACUCUGACAUUUUAAGACUGUUCUGUUUGGAUUUUCACUGCUUCUUAUGGCAGGGGUUCAAACUCUAUUCUUAGUUUUCCCAGCACGAACUCACAGCAGUCCCUUCCAGGACACAAACCCAGAUUUACGUUGGUCUUGGUGAGGGCAGAAUUUGCCUGGUCAGUUUCAUCAUUUGGAUUGCUAUAUGUGCUGAAUACUCGAAUGGAAGCAAUGCUUUCAUAUCCUGAGUAGGGGAGAGGGAGUUGCCAUUCUGUCACCAUAUUAGAAACCAGAGACUCUCAGUUUAUAGUCCUGCUUUUUUUCUCCUCACUCACAAUUUUGUCUUUUUUUUUUUUUUUCUGUGACAGUUUAAUUUUUCAGUACUGCAUGCAAUUUUGCAUAUGAUUCAUAUGGAAAUGAAGACAUAUUUAAUGGAGACUCCAGACACUGCCAAUGAGUAAGGAUAGGAAGAAGUGUAUAUCCCUACUUAUUUACAUUGAAAGAGAGAUAGAAGUGGUUGGAUCUUCCCUAUCUUUAGGGAAUUGUUUAUGAAGCACCUGCGGAAGUUGACCCAACAGGGGUCAGACAGCUAUAACAGUCCAGGAGUAAUUUUUUUUAUAACAUAAAACAAGACUGAAAUGAAAUGUUUCUGAUUUACUAGCCUUGCAUGAGCUAUUGUUGGUUUGCAUAGCAGUCACAACCAACUUACAUUUUUCAGUUCCACUUAGAAAAGAGGUAGCCUUUUCUACAUGAACAUCACUGCAGUUACUAUUGUCCUGAUUACAUAAAAAAGAGACUACUGCAGAAAGAUGUGUAUGAAGCUGUAUCUACGGAGAUCCUAGAAUUUGAAAACUAGCGGAAUAUGUAGCAACCCAUCUGGGAAGAUAAAAAUGGAGCUAUGAGACAGUGAGGGUAUAAUGACAAUUUGUCUCCUUAUGGUUCCUCUGGCAGUAGCUCUGGUAUCAACUUACUAACCACUGAACAUUUCUGUACUCUCCUUUUCCCUCUGGAGGGAUCCCUUGGAGGACAAUGGAGAGGUGGGCAAUACUGGAAGCUCCAGACCUGGCACCAAUGCCUAUAUCUUGAACAAACUACUCUGGCACACCUUUUCCAGCAUGGCUGAAACCUAUUGAAGUAUUCAACACAACCCUUUAGGGAAGGAAAGCAACUCCUGUCCUAAGGUAUGAAAUGUUUGAGAAGAUCCUAGGCUGAGAAUCAUAGAAUCAGAAUUGUUCAGGGUGGAAAAGACCGUAAAGAUCAUCAAGUCCAACCACAACCUAAUCAUACUACCCUAACUCUAACAUCCCUCUGCUAAAUCAUGUCCCUGAGCACCACAACCAAAUGGUUUUUAAAUACAUCCAGGGAUGGUGACUCAACCACCUUCCUGGGGAGCCUAUUCCAGUGCUUAACAACCCUUUCUGUAAAGAGGUUUUUCCUGAUAUCCAAACUAAACUUCCCCUGGCACAACCUAAGGCCAUUCAUUUCCCCUCGUCCUGUCACCUGUCACCAGUGAGAAGAGACCAACUCCACUCUCACUGUAAGCACCUUUCAGAUAUUGGAGGAGAGCAAUAAGGUCUCCCCUCAGCCUCCUUUUCCCCAAACUAAACAGACCCAGUUCCUUCAGUCUCUCCUCGUAGGGCAUAUUCCCCAAGCCCUUCACAAGCCUUGUUGCCCUUCUUUGGACCUGCUCCAGCACCUCAGUGUCCUUUCUGUACUGAGGUGUCCAAAACUGAACACAGUACUCGAGGUGAGGCCUCACCAGUGCUGAGUACAGGGGCAGGAUUACUUCCUUAGUCCUGCACACUACAUCACUCCUGAUACAAGCCAGGAUGCCAUUGGCCUUCUUGGUCACCUGGGCACACUGCUGGCUCAUAUUCAGCUGACUGUCCAUCAAUACACCAAGGUCCCUUUCCAUCAGGCAGCUUUCCAGUCACUCCUCCCCAAGCCGGUAGGAUUGCCUGGGGUUGCUGCGACCAAAAUGCGGAACCAGACACUUGGCCUUAUUGAAACUCAUACAGUCUACCUUAGCCCAUCGAUCCAGUCUAUCCAGGUCCCUCUGUAGUGCUCUUUUCCCCUCAGGCAGAUCAACACUCCCUCCCAGCUUGGUGUCAUCUGCAAAUUUACGGAGGGUGCACUCAAUCUCCUCAUCAGGAUCAUUAAUAAAGACAUUAAAUAGAAGCAGCCCCAGUACCAAGACCUGGGGGAUGCUGCUUGUGACUGGCCGCCAACUGGAUUUAACUCCAUUGACCACAACUCUCUGGGCCUGGCCACCCAGCAUUUCACACAGCGGAGAAUACACCCAUCCAAACCAUGGGCAGCCAGCUUCUCCACAAGAAUGUUGUGGGGGACAGUGUCAAAGGCUUUACUGAAGUCCAUGUAGACCACAUUGACAGCCUUACCUUCAUCCACCAAGUGGGUCACCUUGUCAUAGAAUGAAAUCAGAUUUGUCAAACAGGAUCUACUGUUCAUAAACCCAUGCUGACUGGGCCUGAUCCCUUGAUUGACCUUUAAUUGGUCCAUGAUGGUUCCUGAGAUUAUUCCUUCCAUAAUCUUCUCCAGCACUGAGUUGAGACUAAUAAGUCUGUAGCUACCUGGCCCUUUUUGAAGAUGGAUGUCACAUUAUGGAGAAGCCUCUAUAAAGACUGCAGCUGUUCAUGACUGUCCUCUGAUCAGAAAAAAAAAAAAAAAAAGAGCAGGAGGCAACUGUCUUAGGAAAGAAUGGUGGAGGAACAUUUCCUCAACUUAAAAGAUGGUACUCUGCUAGAAAGUACCAAUCAGUGUGCGACUGUACCCUGUGUUUAUCUCUUGGGUAGCUUGGUUCUGCAGUAAAUGUAUGUAAAGUGCCCCAAACUGUGGAACCCUCACAUAGACAAAGUGUAGAAGGAACUUAAUACCAAUAUUAAUAAAGCCUCAGUGAACACAGCAGCCCGUGACUUACUGCAGAGUGCAGAAUUCUGCUACACAGCAAAAUUUCUCUGCUGAGGAAAAAAAACCAGAAAGCUCCAGUACUUCUACCGUCAGAGACUGAUCUUUGGCAUAGUAUUUUCUAAAGAAAUGCUUGAGGUUGGAACUUUCUUUUCCCUGUUAUUUGCCAGAAACCAGACGUGUCAGUUUUCCAGUGUUUUAAAUCAGGGAUGUAAGAAAUUAAAUGGGACUCUGGUGACCUAGGGGACCACAAGGCAAUGCAGAGCAGUUUGGCAUCUGGAAGGGCAUUAUUUUGAGAUCAGUAAAGUAGUGUGUGGGAUGUCCACUUGAUCUUCUGGUUGAACUUGGGUUACAGUGCACUUUAGUUGUUUUAGAAACACAAGAUGCAGAAUGGCAUUUGUUUUUUUGAAGUUUGCUGUUAGAAAAAUAAAACUCUAAUGAGUAAAAUACAGCAGUGUUUUCUCAUUUCUAUUUGACCUAUUAAGUGCCAGAUCUACCAUAUAAUACAUUAUUUGAUAUAAACAGUUAUUCAGUUACCUACCCAAGUAACGUAUAUGUAUAGACAGUGCCUGAGAAGUUGAUGUCUGUCUUUUUAAACAGGUUUAAAUGGCCCUGGAGCAUUCUCCAUCUUCUUCUGGAAAGCAAACCUUUUCCUGGUUUUAUGUCUCACCGCCACAAGAUGAGGUCCAAAAGGAAAAAUGAUAGGAGUACGAUGCUUGAGAUUCACAUUGAGAAUCAGCACUGAUUGCUACAACUAAGUACUAAACAAAGUUUAUGUUGUUUUUUUUUUUUUGUCUGUUUGCAUCAAUUAACAUUUGUAUAUGUGAUAAUAUGUGAUCCCAAUAUGUAACUAAACUUUCAUUGUGAGAUCUGGGAUAUUUUUCAGUUUUUAGUAAGAAUAUAUUUACUUUGUGGCAUUUAUUGUUUAGAGACACUGAUCUACUGAUAUUUCAAAAGUAAAAAAUAAAUAAAUAUUUAUUUACAUUAGGAUGAUAACUAAAAUAAAGAUUUAAUGCAGAAAAUUGAUCAAUCAAUCAAUAAAUAAAUAAAUAAAUAGAUUCAGCAGCAAAAUUACUUAAAACAUCCUGAAAAUAGAAAAUGAAGAGUUCUACUUCCAAAAUAUCUCUUGGAAAAUACUUUUUCUUUAAUAAUCUGAUAGUGAACUGCAAAUUCUGAAUUUAAAAUUUAAUUUUCAUUCAAGUAGCAUAUUUUUAUAUGAAGAACUUAUGUACUGUUGAUUUCUUCUUUUGUAUUUGGCAAUAUUGAAAACAGAUGCUCUGUUAAGCAUAACCAAGGGAAAGUUGUAACAUAAAUAAUAUACUAACCUAAUUAAAGUGUAUCUUUUAAAAUCUUGAUAAACUUAGUGGAGUCUGACUGUGAAAAAGAUCCAAAAUCCUUCAUGGAAAGGAAGGUUGACAAGAUUCACCAAAUGAUCAUUUUCUAAUGUAUCAAACAUAUCUGAUUGGGGUGCACUAAAUAGCUGGAACCAAAUUAAGCAUGUGUUAAAUUUAAUUUCAGUGAAAGGGGCUGAAACUAACUUUUUUUUUUUUUUUUUUUUUUUUUUAAACAGGCUUCAUCAUUCUUUCAUACACUGAAUACUUGCUGCAGUAUUUAUAAUUUGGUGUGUUCCUUAACCAUGAUUUGGUAUUUCAGAGAGUUCGCUUGCUCUGGUAGAACUUGAAAACAAAAGAGAAGGAACUCAGUUCUUACAUAUUUUCACUGGUACACCAUUUUUUGCUGUGUACCACAUAUUUUCACUUCUCAAAGCCACCAUGCAAGAUGAUAGCUGCUGUCCUUGAAGAAAUCAGUGUUUGUUGCUUUAAUUUUGCUGUUAAACUGGCACUUUGUCAUUUCAGCUCAUCAUGUUAUGCAUGUAAUAAUGUGACAUGCUUAACUGCUAGCUUCAAGCUGAACACUUAAUAUUAGAUACACCUACAGUACUUUUAUUUCAGAAAGCUGCAUUUAGUCCUCAGAGCAUCUUUCUUCUCUGGAAAGACAAAGGCCAGGACCUGCAUUUUUUGACAUGGACAGUUUUGUUUUUACAUGUUCUGAGUAUAUAAAAACAUGAAUGACAGGAGGCAAUCCCACUCUAAGUGUCCUAUCAAAAGUAAAAGGUCACUGUGGAUUUUCAUAUGUGUGUGAGUAUGUGUGUUAGUGUGUGCUUUCAUUUGUGUUUCUAUGCUAAAUGUUGUCAAGUAUGUUACAGAGGUCAUUUGUGAUUCAUAGAAGCACUGCUCAGGGAUUUACAGAGUCCUCAAAUUCCAGUCUGUGGAUAUGCCAAGGAAUCUAACAGUUUUUUGAAUGCCUUACUCAAUAAUCUGUUUUUAAUACUUUCUUUCCUUGCAAUACGUUUUCACUAAAUUUCAAACAUGUUCAGUAAUUUGCUGAUCAGGAGAUAUUUUAAUCACUCUGAAAAAUAAUAAGUGUCCAUUAAAUUAAUUUUUGUUACAAGGUAAUAAUGGAAAAACAAAUGUUCUCCCCCAGAGCUGGUUGUGGUGAAGGCACACCUACUUACAGAAUUCUCAGCUCACUGCAGCAGCAGCUGCAGUGAAUCAUUGAGAAAUCAUUGCAGAAGUUCCAGCACCAGAACAUAGCAAAGGGCAUCUAUAGGCACAGGUGUGUGCAGCUUCACAUUGACUGAAAAUUUAGGGCUCUCUAUAUCAAAAGCUGAAUCUGUCUAGGUUUGUGUUUGCAACUUGGAUAAGUAUCUGCAGCUGGCUAUAUUGGAAGAACAUAAUGGAAAAAAAAAAAAAAGAAUUAAGGCAUCAGAACAUUAUAAAAACUCUGUAAUAGGAAACCAGAGUUGUUGUACAAGUGUAUAGUUGUGUUCUUACAGUCACCACUGUUGUCUCUUUGAUCCUGCAACAACAAUCACAGUCCAUGAAAGACAUCCAUACUCUGUUUGCACACAUAUUACCAGGCAUGUACAGUUUCAUGAACUGAGUGUGAUAUCUUCUUCAUUCUUCUUCACCCAGCUAUGUCUCUACAUCUUGUACCUUCAGCAGUCUCACCUCAUGUCCUCUUUUCUGUGAGCAUUUUACAGAUGAAGUUCACCAUGUCUGCUCCCUCAUCAAACAAACCUCCCUUAUCAACAAUGUCUUUUUUCAUUCAGAACAUUACUAAUUGAGAGAUCUGAUAACAAGAUUCUAGCUGUUAAGGAUCUCCCAAGCUAAUAAGGGGUGAUAAUGAAAGAGAAAAAACACAGAUUUGCACAUUGACUCUGGCCCACAACCCAGCUGAACCUGUCUUUCUUUUGAUGGUUAGAAGAAACAAGAAUGGCUUAGGAGUUUAUGGCUCUUUUAGCCCUCCCUGAUGAUCUUUUGAGGGAAAGGAUAAGGAGUAAUUACAGAGAGGUUACUUUAGAAUCAUGAAGGGAGUCUCUCUGUACUUGUAAACUGUUUGAAUUGCAUUUCUGUCAGUCAUUUACAAUUGACCAUAUCUAGCUGAGGUUCCAAGCACAGAUUUAUAUACUUACCUGGGCAAAUGUAUUUCAGUCACUUUAAAAGUAGUUGUGGAUUAUAAUCCCCUUAUGCCCAUUUCUUAAAUCAAAUGUAAUGCUUUCGAAAUAGAUUCAACACUUUUGAGUUAUUCCCACCCCCCACAAUCAUGUUUGAUUUGGUUAAUCAAGGUUGAACAGUAGGCUAAUACUGGAAGCUCUUUUAAGUAAAAUAGUUUCUGUAUUAAUGAGAUCCAGUCCAGUUCAAAUUAAAAAAAGAAUUUUUUUUUUUUUUUUUUUUUUUUUUGAGGGAAAUGUCCUUUCUCCUGUUAUUAAAAUGAAUGGGAGCAGUGAGAUUUUUUAAGAGGGUUUUUUUUUUUUUUUUUUUUUUUUUUUUUCCCCAGCCUAAUUGACUUGGAUUUUGCUCAUGUAUGGUAGGUUAUGUUUUCUCAUUGUAGAAGCUUUUUCCUGCUAAAAUCAUUCCUUUCACUAAUGAGAUCCAUCCUGAUAUGACAGGAAGACAGCUCUUAAAACACCCACCGUUUUCUCCCAUUCAUUUGAAUAGCAGCAAAGGGACAUCUUUUAAAGUAAUUUUUAUCAGUGAGAUUGAGCUGAAUCUCAUUAAUAAAGAAAUGAUUUUACUCAAAAGAGCCUUCACAGUUGAGCUAUAACUCAGAUUAGUGAGAUCUAGCCUGAUUAUAACUUUAUAAGACAUUGUACUUCUGCCAUUCAAAGCAUGCAUCAGCUAUGUAGGGACCAUUGAUUCCUGCAAAGGCUGUUUCAGAAGGGUGGGUGAGAAAGGUGUCUGGAGGUGUCUUUCUCAUUUUUUCAUGAACAUGGAAAGUGAAUUCUUCCUUCUGUAUAUUAAGACUGGUUUUCACUAUAUGUAUUUUUAUUUUGAAGAGCAUAAGGGUGACUGAAAUGAAGAUGUAAGGUGAAGAAAGAGCUCAAUACCAUGCCAGUGGAGGAUUGUCCAGGUACCAGGACACCACUAUUUCAUGGUAAAUUCUUUAUGCUGACAUUUAAUUCACAAUAAAUUUGGUUAAUGCACAGAACACUGAAUAUGCAUGAGAACAGCAAGCCUAAGAAGUUAAACAAUCACAACAGAACUUCACAGCAUAGCAAAGUGUUGCAUACAACACCAAAAAGGCAUAUAAAAAAGAAAUGAUGUUAUAUAAGCAGCUUUUCCACUCUAUGAAUCCCUGAAUGAGGCUUCUUAUUAGUUGUUUUCCUAGAAGCAGCUAUGUCCAACCUGAACCACGAGCAGCUACAUCAAGUUGGACUAAGUUAAGAAUACCCUACUAAAUACUACCCAUACUAAAACAUAGAACAUCUUUAUGGAGGGAACCAAGAUUGUCUUGAAUGAUAUUUUGAGAAUAUCAAAUUAAUAGGCACACCACCUUGAGAAACAGCUGCUAGUUGAAACCUCAUGUCAAUAAGGAUGUCUGAAAGACCAACUGGCCACACCUGGGAAGGUGUAACCAGAGGUUAUAACAUGGGCAGAUCACAAAAGGGAAAAAAUGCAUUGGUCAGAGUGAGUUUGAGGUAUUAGGUGGUGAUAGAGUUUACAGUAGUAAGAGAUAUGGGGAAAGUGAAGGAAGAUUUUCUAAUUCAGAAGGAUUGCAUGUGAAUGAUGACAGGCAAUGGAAGCUCUAGUGCUGGGCAGCAAAUCAGCUCUAGGGUUGAGGUUAGUCACUGAAAGGCUUGCUACUUGCAUAGCAGUACUUCUACAGACAUGUUUUUGCUCCAGAAACUGUUAUAUUGCAUACCCUAUGGAAAAAGUGUAGUCUUUGCAGGGGUUUUCAUAAUAUUCUAUUCCCUACAGGAGAGCAAAAUUCUAUUUGUUUUGCUAUAUUUAGCAUGGUGAGUGUCAUCCCCCCCAACUUUCAGUCUCCCAACCUUCACUAUGACUGAAAGAUUAAACUUGAGAGUCUUUUAUGAGCUCAUAAACAAAUUAAAAAUGACAAUGAGGUCUAGAUUGCUCAGGUUAUUUGUGUUAUGAGCUGUCAUUUCUUAGGUGAAGAUCUCUGUUUUGUGUAGAGUUAGUACCCCAGAGAAAUAAGCCAGACCUUCCUACUCUCAGCUGCACAUACCUUUGUUUUCUGCAGAAGGAACCAAGAGUAGCUGAGAAGGGCUCUGAUAGUUCAGAGACAGAGAGUGUUUGACAUAAUUUUGCAUAGAACCUUCUUGCUUUACCACCUCCUCCCUUAAGUGCACACUACAUUCAUUCACACAUUAAAAAUUGAAGUGUAAUAUUCUGCUGCCUGGUCUUCUUAGACAUUGUCUUUGUUCAGUUCUUAGUCACUGCUGGAAUGUGCCAAGCAAUGAAAUGUCAGUCUUUGAAAUAUAGUUCUUAGGAGAAUUAUUUCUCUUAAGCAAGUUUAACUUUAGCUUAUAAUAAUAUUUAAUUAUGUCCUAUUUAGUAUUGUUCCCAUUUUGCUUCUAUCAGCAUUCAUUAUGAAUGCCACGUUGCAUCUCAACCCCUCUGCCUCUGAAAUUAAUGUCAAUGCCAAUAUGUGGGUAUUACUAAAUACAGAGAAUGCAUAAGAAUCAAUUCAGCCAGCACUCCUCCACUUUCUCCGAAUUCAUUGUGUCACCUCCGCCUCCAGUGGCCUGUCUUGAAGAGCCCCUAGGUAAUUCUUGAAUACAUGGCACUGCUGCCCCCAGGCUCCCUGCAAUGCAGUUGUGCAAAGUACCCAUUCUUCUGUGUGUGUGUGUGAGAAUAUUUGUAAGCCAAGCAAGAGGAAAACGCCUGAUAUUUUCAUGAGCAUAUGAACAUUUGAUCCAGAGGGAAGGUUCGCAUUUUCCACCUCUGCUUUUUAAAGUGGAAAUUUUCACCUCUGGGCUAAAUAGUUAUUCUGUUGUGAGCCUGCUUCAGGCAGUAAUUAGGGGUGGAGGAGCCUUAAAGGCCAGGUUUGGCUGACUAUUGUAAAGGACUGGACAUUAAGCUGAAAUCUGAAUUGUUUUCUGCGUAGAAUCUUAACACAGAACAGCAUUGUGACCCUUUGUGCUGCCCAAGCCCAUAAAUCCCACAAGGUAUUUUCAUUCUCACCUAUGUACUUCUCAGCCUGCUAAUGUCGCAGUGGGUGAAAAAGAUCUAUCAUAUUGACAGAAAAUAAAUGUAGGAAAUGUUAAAAAGGGUUUAAUGCCUUCUCAGCUAUAUUCUCACAGUUUUAUAUAUUUUUUUAAAUGUAAAUAAUUCCAGAUAUACAUGGGGAUGCUGAAAAGAUAGUAAGAUUAGGCUAGCUGACAACAGUCUCAAAGAGGAAGAUUUUGCAAAGAUUUCUUUCCUACCUAAAAAUCCAGCAUCUUUGUCCCUACUUCUGAGGUCUGUGUGCAGUGACUGGUGUCUGACAGCCAGUGCCAGUUGUCUCUGAUGAGUUCACAGGUCCAUCAUUUCAAGGAAGGGUAAAAGGUAGAAGAGAAAAGGCAUUAUACACUUUCCAAUGCUUUAGGUAUCUCUUAAGAAAAAUGAAAAUAUUCCUACAGAACUGUUGUGUCAUUUUCUAAGUUGUUGGACCCCAUUCCUGAGUGAGGGCUUUCUGCAUACAUUUGUGAACUGAGACUUUCUUCAUAAAGAAAGAUGAAGAUACACUAAUUAGUUGUUAGCUCAGUCUGUUUUUUACCAGUUUCUCUCAGUCCAUGAAUAAGAAGUGAAUGAGCAGAUUAAUUCCUUUCGCUUUCCCAUUUGGAAAGUCAAUUUUGUUUGUAGUUUGUUAACAAAUGGAAUUUUAAUUUAUUUGACAGAAAUCAAAUAUCCUGGUUUUUAUCAUCUUGAUUUAAAAAAAAUUAUUAAGAAUUGCAGUGUUUGUGGCAAUAAACCUUCAUUUAAGUCCUAAUGGAAAUUUUUAUAUAUAUGUAUAUACAUAUAUAGAAAGAUAGAUAGAUAGAUAGAUAGAUAUACUUAACUAAUGGUUCUAAUUGAUUUAAGUGGUAGCCAUUUUUAAGUGGCCUGCUAUUGGAAUGGAUGUUAGAUAAUAAAAAGUUGGACACUAAAUCUUUAGGAGACUUUCAUGUACAAAUCUACACUUCAACUGUGAAAUUGUUCUAAUUCUUGAGUUAUCAUAUCAGAAGUUUUAAAUCUGCAAAAGAUAAAGAAUAAAGAAUAUGUCCCAAGUUGCAUGUUCUCUUCACCUUCUCCUGUAUUACACCCCCUCCACAAGAAUCAAAGGCCUCUCUCCAGUACCUUGUUUACAAAUGCAGAUGCCAUGGCAACUUGCAGUAUAUUUGUUCUAACAUUUGAACGUAUGUUGAACUUUUAAAUAUAGCUCACAAGACAUUUAGCCAAAUUAAUUGCUCUACAAAGUAGUUUUGGAAUUAUAAAGAAGAGAACAGAUCGAACUUCUGAUUAGAGGAUGUUUAUGGGCAAGCUGCUAUAUGGAACAAUUCUGAUACAGAAGCUCCAAGACAGUUGCCGCAUAGUAUGAGUAUAGUUCUAUAAACCAUAGAAACAAUACCAAUUAUAGUCAUCACAUUGUUGAAAUGUGUACUCAAACUUUUAUGCACAUGAGAUAGUCGAACCUAUAAUAUUUUCUAACUACAUACCCAAUUAUUAUUCAACAUAAAACUACUAUUCCUAUUCACAUUAUUCUGAAUAUAAUUCAUAUUUGUUGCAUUUGUUUAUAUGAAAACUGGCUUUAAGGAACAAGAACACUGUGCAAGCCAAAUCUGUUGCAAAUAAUUCCACUGGAUUUCAGUAAGCUCCUCUGACUGGUGUUAUUUGAAGUUCUAGGCUGAAGUGUUUUGCAGGCAUUUAUUAACUUUACUAAGACUUGUGAAAACGUGAGACUGUUCUGCAAUGUUCAUUGCAGUGAUGUUAGAGCAAAAAAGAAGUAGGGCUAUUAGAUGUAAUGUAAAGGAAUUUUUUUACAGGUCGCAGUGAAUACACAUGAUUCUCAUGUGCUUACACACAAGCUAUCAACACGAGGACUAAACAUCCUACAGUUUCCCUAAAAUUGUGUCUUGAGCAACUCAGCAUGGAAAGCAGGUGAGGUGACUGCACUACAGUGUGUUUUUAUUUGAUAGCUAUUUUUUUUUCCCUUGUGUGUAGCUUAUUCAGAAACAUGUUUCUGAAGAAAAUCUGUUUUAUCUGGAAUUUGUCUGAAUGAUACAAUUGUGAUGUUACCAGCAGCGAUGUCCAUGAUACCAACCCUAACCACUUAGCAAUCAUCAAGUAAGUGUAAUUGCACUAGUUGAUUUAUUUCAUCUACAGAUUAUGUAAUUGCUUAUUAAAAAAAUUGCUAGGAGCAAUCGUCUCCAUCCAUGCUAGUAACCAUGUAUUAUAAUCAUGCCAGUAGGUGAAAAUACAUAGAAUUUCCUUCCUCUUUAAGCUAGAAGACUCUCCACCUAUGUAAAACUUUCUUACUUAGGGGGCAAAACAAAUGACUUCUGAGCUACUUACAGUAAAAUCAACAUACUUGCAAUUCAUUUUCCACUGUACAUUGUGCCUAUGGAUAAAAACAUUCAAAACCAGCUGAAUUUCUCUAAGUGCCCAAUAAGCAUUUAAGUAUUAGACCUAAGGUUAUUUGUUAUUUUAUACUGUAUAAAGGUGGGAUAAAAAAUAAAAACUAGAAUGAAAUACCUAGAGACAUCAGGACCACUAGCUGUGCUGGAUAUAAUUUCCAUUUUCCUUUUCUAACCAUGAAUUCACAUGACUGAAAUGUUUCUUGUAUGUGAUAUAAUAAAGACUACAGUGAAACCUUGUUUCCUCUUAGACGGUAAUGUGUGAUAUCAUGGCAAUGACAAGCAUGAAUGAGAUGCCAACAUUUGGCACUCUUUGGUGAGUAGUGAAAACAUUAUCAGUGAGAGGUGUCCAGCAGCGUUAAAGAGUAGCCGAAUCAGGACAAGUUCAUGUAUGAGUCAACAUCAACUUGAUAGAAUUUCUGCUUUUGGCAGUUAAUGUUGACAAUUAGUACAGUGCCCUUAUUAUAUAUGCGAGGGACUUGAGUUCCUUGAGUGGACAAAGAGUACAAAAACCAAGGAAACAGCUGUUGGGCACAUAAAUGUCUUGUUGGAAGACAUGAAUAUAUUUGGAAAGAUAGGUUUGUGUUGCUGGCCUUAAUCCCUUCCCUUAAGUAUCUUCUUUCUGAUGGUCAGACAUAAUAGUGCAACUGAAUAAAGGGAAGCAUUUUUGACUGGAUAGUGUACAUCAGGUCCCAUAUACAUACUGACUGAAUUCACGUUACUUGUCACUUGAUACAGUUAUGAGAUCUGAAUGAUUUUCAGUCACUUCAGUGAAGGCUGUAUUUGAAACCUGGUCCCAAAGCCGCAAGGCAAGUGUAUUACAUACCUGUCAACUAACAAGACUUGCCAAAAUGAAUCUACUCAUAUGAACACAUGAUCAUUAUUGCUGUUCACACUGUGAAACACUACACACUGUGACAAAAGUAGAAAGCAAGAGGAUUAUUAUGCUAGACAGUCACUUAUUAAAUAUAUUUAUUGUGGAUAAAUGAAUAUUCCUUUACAACAAAAAAUGUAAGCUGUUGAUAAAUUUCUAGUAUUGAAAAAUGUGAUAUGGGCAAUUUAGUAAAACUUGACCUUAUUCUUUUGUAAAGAAUAAGCAAAUAUUUACAUUCCCUUGACUGAACAAAGAUUUUUUGUGCUGAAGACUACUAAAUAUUCCACACAACAAGCACAAGUAGGAGCAAAUGAAUUCAGCAAGCACUGGGACUACUCAGGCCAAAUUUCUUUACCUUUUCAUUGAAUAUUUAAUCAUUAAUUACAUCUGAGUUAUAAACUACUUACUAGUUAAAAAAAAUUGUCACAUCAGGGUAAUGUUUGUACACUGCAUGAAUUUUAUAUGUUUGCAUGAAAAGGAUGGAUUAGUGAAAUGGUGAACAAGACAUUCACUGAAAAAGAGCUCCUUGGGAUGGAAUUCUGAAAUGUACUUUCCUAUAUUCAGUUUACACAGAAGAGAGGAAAAUCUAAAGGUAUACAACAAAAAGAUUUAGAAGUUUGUUCUACUGUCAAGUCUAGAAAAUUGACACUCUUCCAGAUAUCUUCAAAAACAUGUGGACUAAGAGUUGUAUAGUAAGACUAAGGAGUUGUCAAAGAUUCCAGCUAGCCACAUGAGAAUUAAUGUAACAGAAACUGACCAGGUCCUUGAACAAUGUUAGUUAAUCAUAUUUCCAAUAAAUAAAUAAAUAAAUAAAAAUUAUGAGCAGAAAAAUGCAAAAUGCUUUAGAAUGCCUCAAAAAGAAUAUGAAAUGUAUUUGAAGAUCUAUACCGCAAAUUAACACUAUAGUUGAUAAAAUGCUAGUUUAUCUGCAAAGUGCUAAUCUACUUCAUACUAUUUCUUCUUACAGAUUUCAUUAAUUUGAAGAUAUAUUUGCUCCCUCAAAGAUGAAAAUGUUAAUAGAAAUGAGAGUUAAAACUCACUGAGUUCAUUAGGCUCCCCAAUUCUCCUUUGUUUCUGAGUAACAUCUCUUAGAAGCAUUUCUUUUUCUACAAGAAGAAAGUAGAAAUAAAUCUAUUCAUUGCUAUUGAAAAACUGACUACAAAUAGCUGUGAGUAGUUUUGUUUGAGUUGUAUCUGGUAUGAAUGACAACUUCAAAAAGUAAUGUGUAAUGUUGAGCAUCCUCAUGGUUUCUAUGUUAAAAUUUCUAGUGAAUAGUUUAGAAGAUAGAAAUUGUACAGCUUAUAAACUUACUAAGGUUUUGUGCAAAAAAUUGGAGUGGUGUUUGAAUAAUUAGUUAAGGAUGUAAUGCAAGAUAAAUAAUAAACAAAAAUUUUGAUAAAAUCAAGUUUUUUUAUUCACUUUCACAGAACAAGAGAAAAUAUCACCAUUUUUUUUUUUUUUUUUUUUCUAAUUUGAGUCUCCUAUCUUAAAGGAAAGUUAUUAUUUUCAUGAUCAUGGCUCAGCCACAGCUAUCUUAAACACUAAUGCUUUUCUCCAGUGUUUCAUGGAUUAUGAGUCCUUGGUACAAAAACUAGACUGAACUGGCUACUAAUUAUCUCCUCCUUGUUCUGCUGGGUCUUUCUGUAGCUCUUGUCACUACGAGACCCAGAUGACUUCUGAAAAUUUUCGUUGACUACAGAACUUCCUCUAAUUAAAAAAUAAAUAAAUAGAAAAAAACAAAGCAGAUUAAUUUCCAAGUAAUCCUUCUCUGUGAAAUCUUUUCAGUUCCAUCAGUUCUUUUGUCUAGCUUACAUGUUAAGUUAAGCAUAGGUAUUGAUAGUCACAUCAAACGGCGCUGUCAAGGUUAAAUAAGUAAUGGUCCUUCAUUUUAUUUUGUACAAGACCUGGAUUUUAUUCUCAUGCCUUUCCAUACAGUCAAAUUAUAUGGGUAUUUUGAUAGACAUGAUUAUUGAAGGAGAUCAUUAAAGAAGAUUUGAUCGAAGGCACUCUGGAUUGUAGCGACCAUACCCUAAAUGAGUUCACAAUCUUAGGGAAUAUGGCCCUGGCAAAAAGCAGAGUCAGAAUGUAGAACUUCAGGAGAGUGAACUCCUGGCUUUUUAAGGAAUUAUUAAAUUGGAUCCCCUGGAAGACUGUCCUUAAAGACAUAGUAAUGGAAUAGAGGUGGCAUCUCUUUGAAGACAUCUUUCUGAGAGGACAAAAGCUCUGCACUCCCGAGCGUAAGAAAUCAAGCAGAGAAGGCUGGAAACUGGUAUAACUAAGCAAGAAUCUGCUGGACAAACUGAAGGAAAUAAAGGAAAAGAACAGGCAGUGGAAGCAGGGACACACGGCCUAGGAAGAAAACAGGGAUGACAUCUGAACAUGCAGAGUUUCAACCAUCAGGAAAGCCAAAGUGAGUUUUUUGCCUCAGUCUUCCCAGUCAGUCAGGCUUCCCAUGCCUCUUACAUUCCUGAAUCUCUAGGCAGGGGUUGGGGUAGCAAUAUCCAAGCAAUAGGAAGUCCAAGAUUACCUCAUAAGACUGAAUGUGUGUAAGUCUAUGGGACUGAAUGGCAUGUACCCCAGGGACCUGAUGGAACUGGAUGAUAUGGUUGCCAAGGCACUCUCCAUCAUAUUUGAAAAGUCAUGGCUGUAAGGCAAAGUACUUAGUGACUGAAAAAAAAAAAGGAAGCAUCACUCCCAUUUUCACAAAAGGGAGAAAGGAAGACCUGGGGAACUACAAGCUAGUGAGCCUAAUCUCUGUUCCAGGGAAGAUCAUGAGGAGAAGAUUUUAGAAGCUAUGUCACAGGCACAUGUGAGUUGAGGAGGUGAUCUGAGACAGCCAGCACAGCUUCACCAUGGGCAGAUGGUGCCAGACAAAUCUGGUGGCCUUACAUGAUGGAGUGACAGCAUUGGUGAGAAAAAGAAGUGCAACUGAUGUCUGCUACAUGGACUUGUGUAAAGCCUUUGGUAUGGUUCCACAUCACAUUCUUAUCUCAUAAUUAUAUAGAUUUGACGGGUGUACUCUGGUGAAUUAAGAAUUCUUUGGAUGGUCACAUGCAGAGGGUUGUUGUUAAUGUUGCUGUGUUCAGGUGGCAGGUCAUGGGUGGAGCUGCUCAGUGGUCUAUCUUGUGUGACAGAACAAGGGGAAAUGGCUUCAGAUUUAAAGAGGGGAGAUUUAGGUUAGAUGUUAAGCAGAAAUUCUUUACUCAGAGGGUGGUGAGGCACUAGACACAACCAAAGAGGUUGUGGAUGCUCCAUCCCUGGAGACAUUCAAGGCCAGAUUGGAUGGGAUCCUGAGCAGCUGAUCUGGUGGGUGGCAGCCCUGAUCAUGGCAGGGGUUGCAACUACAUGAUGUUUAACAUCCCUUCCAAUCUUAGCCAUUAUGUGAUUAAUUCUAUAAUUAUUAUUCCACUAGAUAACAUGGAAUGGGAGACAAUAAGUAACUGGAUUAGUAAGGUGAUUUGCUAUAAAAUGCACACUUACUGAUCUGCAGUCUUACAUCCUCACAUCCAUUUGUUUUAAGUCCUGUAGUGACAGUAAUGAAAUAUAAACUGGGACCUCCUCACAUCAUUCUACAGCUAGAAGAAUAUAAAGCAGACAAUAACACAAAAGUCAAGCCUAUACAUGCAAAAUAUGCCUGCAAAUUUAGGACCUUCCAGUUCAGCAUAUAUAAAUUAGUCAUCUUCUGUUUUAGAUACAGAAAGGCUUUUCCCUCACAAGGCUGUAUCAUACUGUUAUGCUUGGCACAAAACACUGCCAGGAUAACUUUGGGAAGAUAUUUGAUUUUAAAAGUUUUUGUUACGAAUCAGACAAGUAAGCAAGAAAUCACAAAAUCACAUAUCACUCCUGAUUCUAAAUAAUUCAGUGUUUGGUACAAGGUAUUCUAAUAUCUUUAAAGAGUCGACUAAGUAUCAUUAUACUGUUGUGCAUUGCCUUGAAAAACAGAGCAGCAACUCAAAAUUGCAAAAAAAUAUAUGAGCAAAGUACAGAUGAAAAUGAGUCUCCCCAAAUUUUAAGAUAUUGAUUUAUUAUAUCAAAGUAGAUGAUUAAUUACUGCUGUCACAAGAGCUUUGUGCACAGAUACAAACUUAUGUAUGUAUGGAAAAAUCCCAUUUUAUCUUCCAGAGGAGAAAUAUCAGUUUUGUGACUGAGGAUAGCAGGAUUGGAUAAGAAUCAGUUUACAAUUAACUACUAUUUACCAUUUAUAUACUUUUUUCCUUCAUAUCUUUAUAAAUAUUUCAGAGACUUAUUUUUGUCCCUUCGCAUUUUCACCUUUGAAGAACUAUAUUUAGGUUCAGUGAAUGUCUGUAGUAAAAUCAGAUUUAGACCUAGUAUAAAUAAACAUCUGAAAUCUUCAAAACCUUCUACAUAUUGUGCUACACAUGUCUGUGAAGGGGGAGAGAGAAAUUAUGCAACUAAUAAAUGAUUUAAGAAUGUGAAAUGAUUUUGAAUUGGUCUGGUCAACAAGGAAAGCAGGCAUUUUUCUAAGGUAUCUAUCAUAUAAGUAUUGUAGAUUUUUUCCCACUUCUAUUGGCAGCUUCUCUUAGCCUGCUAUCAAUAUAUUCCUUUUGUUUGUGACACAAAAGGCUUCCCACUAUAAUUUAGCAGGUUUUAUUUUCAAAGAAAAAUCUUGCAUUCUUUCUCUCUCCGUGUAUGCAUAACCUUUAUGAGGAAAGCUUUUACUUAGUGGGUGUUUUUUUGUUGUUUUGUUGUUGCUGGUUUUUUUUUUUUUUUAAUUUCACAUUUACUAAUAAUAUGCUUUUCAGAAAAAGUAGGUGCUUUUACAGCAUCAUACAAGUGCUAUGUUUUGAAGGAGCAAUAUAGCAGUAUGUAUCUUUUUGCCCUUUGAUGUAAAUUCGUGAGGAAGAUAGAUUAUAGCAUCAAGAUGUUUCUCUGUGAGUAAUAAACUACCGAGCACAAAGUUCAUGGCUGAGAAUUGUGUGGGAUACAAGUGACUACCUUCACUACAAUCAAUUAUUAGGAUGAUUAUAUUGUGUCUGGAGAAUAUGAUGCUAAUGACUAGCUAACGUUUAGAAUACACACUCUUGACUUGAAAACCAAUGACAGUUAAAUGCAGCAAAGGGAAAGGCCUAUAUGUUGAGCUAGCAGCUCUCUAGUGUUGAUAAUGAAUAAUUAAAAAUAACAGUCUUUAUGUGUGGCUUGACAGUAUACAUGUCCUUUUAGUAUAUUCCGCUUUGUAAAGAACUUGGCACAAUGACAGCCAAAGAAAGGCAUCUUACCGCAUCCUGUACAGAAACUGUAUAGGAAAGCAGGGAGUUAAACACCCUCACUGCUGGGAGGGCCUAAGCAGGAUUAGCUAUGUAUUUACUGCUAACCUUCUACUACUCUGUCUUCUAAACAAAUAAAUAAUUGAAACCCAUUAUGUCUUUUAGGGGAGUUGCUCACAUGCUUUCUAUAUUCACAUCAAAGCAGAGAUCAGUGUCAAAGAGGCAGCCACAUUUAGCUGAGUCUCUCGGAGACUACUGAUUAAUUAGUUUUGCAUUUUGGAAGUGCAUCCAAAGAUGUAAAAUAGCGUUUGUUUUUACUAUUGCCAAAACUUGUUUAGGAGCUCUCUGGAGGGUGACGGUGAUGUACUCAAGAUGGUUGUGAAAGAAAAGGGCAUACAGUUCAGGUGCCAGAAAUCUCCAACCCCUUCCCUCCCCCCCCCCCCCCCCCCCAUUUCCCCCUUAAGUUUCUGCAUGAGUGUCCAGAGGGAGUGCCUAAAUGAAAGGCGUGCUGGUAUCGAUGGAAGGCAAGAAUUGGGUGAUAAUAGAGAUAUCAACAUUUCCCUUAAUCAAGACAGUAUAAAAUGAAAGUUAUAAAAGGACGGAUAAUUCAGUUCUUAAAAACCAAAUUAAAAUAUUGUCUUAGAUAAGGGACAUGUAAGAUCUGUAAAUCCUGUUUAAAGUGUUGUCGUUUUAAAGUUUUCAUGUCUUGGUUAUUGCAUAACUUUUUUCUUUAUAUACUGAAAUGUGGUAAUAUGAGGUAUGGGGGGUACUCAGUUAUGGCAAAUAUUGCCUACAAAAGUGUGUUCAUGUUAUUUGCCUUUCUGUCUCUGUCUAUAUCAACUCCACAUGCUGCUCUGGUGGCCUGCUUUGUACUUAAUAUAACUUGUCAAAACACAUCUAUCAGAUAUAUGAAAAGGCAAACCUGGGUGGCCAGACUAGUCCAAGCCUGGCGUGGAUUGCAUUUUACCAAGACCACAGAAAUCUCUUUCCUCAAUGCGAUUAAGAUGAAAAGCAGAGUUCAUUGUUGUGCAACCAGAUUUUAAAAUAAUUACAUACAUGCUAGUGCAUUAGUAGGCCAUUUGUGUUUAUUUGAAUCCUACAUAUUGUACUUUUAUGUGGAUCUUAAGUGAUUUUUAAAGCUGUCAGUAAAAAAAAAAAAAAAAAAAAAAAGUGAUGUUAUCACUUGUUUUAGGUAGCUUUGUUUUGUUUUUUUUUAAUCCCUUCCUGUUUGCUUCUGUAUACUGAGCUGCUACAAUCCCAGUACCUUAUCUCUUUCCAAGAAAGGUGAGUAUGUAUUACCCUUUGGCUAUUGACUGACAGACUUCUGGCUGUUCUUUGAACCACAGCUAAUGCCACCACAAUAUCUUACAUAUAUGACAUGCUCAGUGUUCACCCUCUGAUUGCCUGAGAACACAUGUUAUAUGAUACAGGCAGGAACGCUGCACAUGGAAUGAAACUCACAGGUUUAUUCUUCUGCUUUCAAUACCUUCUCAUCCUGAAUGUAUAUUGCAGAAUGUAAAUAUGCUUGGUUCAGCAUAUUCACCGAUUUUACAAGUUUUUCCUUCAAAUUUCAAAGUUGAAGUCCUUUUAGGGAAAUCAAGAGUUGCAACAGCAUUAAAACCCUGCACCCCAUACAGCUCAAUUUACAGCAUAUUUAUGCUUACCUUUCCAAUGCACAGGUGGAACAAACUAUUUUAAACAUGACUUUCUGAAGAAAUUUUUGCUUGGAUUUCUCAAAGGAGUCCAAAAUCAUAUUGAAUUUAUGAGCUGAAAAUCACUUCCUCUCCAACCAACAUGGGACACAAUCAUUCUAUAAAAUUGUUGCAGCCUGGGAUCUCCUUGGAAGUGCAAAAUGUGCAAGAGAAUGACCAUGAAAAUAUAUUAACAUUUUUAUCCUGUUUGAGCUGCUAUUACACUUGCAUUCAAAGAAAUGCCUGAAGCACAACUAUUCCGGCACAGCUAGAAUCCUUACAGUCUUAGCUUUCCACAGUCUCAGACUGCAGAGUGAAAAGCAUUGAAAAACACAAGUUUCAUUAAGAAAGAUAACCCUUACCUUCCAGGAGGAUGUAAACUGAGUUUCUACCCGCUGGAGGGACAGGGGCCUGCAGGAGCACAGUGAUACCCAUCAGUGCUUCAGAAUAGUUCCACAUUCUCCUGGCUCACUGGGUGGCUUGGCUUCAAGUGUUGGUUGUAAAGUUAAGGAUUAUCAUUGAGGGCUCUGUAUUUGUGUAAGCGAGGAGAAGAGAGGAAACUGGAGGCAUCCUGCCAAUAUUCUCAAUGCCUGUAUGCUAACUCCACUGGAGGAGAGCAGUGUGAAUGAACUGCUUAGGAGUGGGUUGCAGGAUAUCAUUGUAGUGACACCACAGGCAGAAAAAUUGACACUCAGAGGUAACUUCUUUAAGCUUGGUGGAGACAUAAUAAAGUGGAGUUUUGCUGGCUGUACUGGCACUGAGAGAGUCAGCAGCAAUCAUCUUUCUUCUAAUAACCAAAUGUGCUGAACACAAGCUGGUUAUUGCAAACACAAUUAUUCAGUAAUUGGAUAAGCCUAAAAUAUCUUGGAUACAUCCUUGAUCCAAGAGCUGGCAGCUCACUGAUUAUAUCAUUGUUUGGCAAAGAGGCCUGCAGGCUGCAGGACUCAUAAGAUCCAUACCCAGAGCAGACUGCUGGACCCACUAUCAUGGAAUAGGUUCCAAGUUACUGAUUCAACUACAUUGUUGGAGAACUGGCACAAAUCCUGCUAGGCAUAGACACAAAAUGCUUUAAAGAUCUAAAUAUUAAAGAUCUAAACACUAAACAAGAGCUGUGUAACAGCAUUCUUUCAAGGCUUGCCCGCCCAGGAACAUGAAACAUGCACAAGGUGGUGAAGGAAAAGAGUGGUAGGACUAUAUGGCAUACUGAGGUACUGCUGAUAGAAUUGGUUUUGUCAGAAGUCAACAUCAGAAACAGUUUGAUAUCUCAAUCAAAAAUUUUACUGAGGAAAAUGAAACCAAAUCAAACCAAAAUAACAAAAACAAAAACAAAAAUGACAGAAAAAAACAGACUUAGCUUAUUUUCUGCUUUCUCAUUCUAGAACAAAGAAAAUAUAUUAGAAAAGCAUUAGUCCUAAAGAACAGACAAAAACUGAAGCAGUCAUAAGCUCAGCAAUAGAGUUAGCAAGCUCAUGAAAUUCAGUCUUUUUCAGACCAAUGUAAUAGAAUAAGGAAAAGUGCAGCUAAAGAUGAACAAUGAUUACAUAAUUUGACGAGGCUGGACUAGGAAGCUAUUACUACAGCUAAAUGAGAAGCUAGGCAGAUGAAAACAGAUUUAGAUAAAAUAAACAUAUACGGGCUAUAAACAUAUAGGGCUACUCUAAGAGUAAUGCCUCCUAUUUUAUCAUGUUGACCUACAAUAUCAGAUGUGAUUGUUGGUGGUUUGACAGUAGAGAUUGAAUCUUCCUGACUGUAUUCCCCUACAUUUUGUUGCUGUGCAACAGAUGGCAGCAGAGGGGCAGUCUGACAAAAUGGCGUCUGACGUGGGAGUGUGUAUGGAUUGAAGGUGUGUCACUGAAUUCCUCUAUGAGAAAAUAAUGACCCAUGGACAUUCACUGAUGCUUGCUGAACAUUUAUAGAGACCAAAGAUUGGACGUGAGCACUGUGAGGUGGUGGAUGGUGCAUUUCAGCAGUGUCAACAUCAACAGUGGGUGGGUGCAGAUUUCUGCUAGCGUGGCAUACAGGCUCUUGUUCAUUGCUGGUGGAAAUGCAUAUAUAAUGGUUGUGACCAUGCUGAAAAGUAGUGUUUUGUAGCUGAGCAUUUGCUCUGUCAAACAGUGUUAUUGUGCUUUUUGUAUCCGUUGCAGUUUCUAUGAAAAGAAAUAGGAGGCAUUACUGUUGGAGUGACCUACAUAUGUAAGCAUCUCUGAAAUACUUAUUUUCCAUUUAUAAGUGAGGGAAGAUAUCUUGAGUUCAAUAAAUAUUGAAGGCAUCUUGUGAUAGACAUAUAUUUCAAUACCUAGGGCAGUUGACAAGUUUUUAAGCCCCACCUGUUUUAGACCUCCAAAAGAUUCAACAAAUGGUCUCAAUUUGGAUAAAAAUUCAAAUGUCCUAGCAAAGUUUAUUCAAUGUAGACAGUACUACUCAAGUGUGUAGGUUCAUAUCUCAAUUAUUCUGUGUGAACACAGGAAAUGGGUCCCCUUGCCAGGCAAGGUAUAGUCCUCAGUGUAAGGUUGACAGAAUCAGGAUUUUAGCACGACUGAAAGCUGAUAGUAAAACAGCUUUAUCUGACUUUUUAUCUGUAGUCAUCCAGGGCUAUCAUGCAGUAGCUUCAGAAAAGGUUUCUAAGCUUUAAUCAUUGUCUUCCAGGCUGUAGUCUCUGUCUUAUUUGAAAUAGCUAUCUUCCCCUGAGUGACUUGUCUGGUUGCAUUUGUGGUACCUGACCUACUUUGCAGCACUUCCCUCGGUACCACCUCAUAAUCUGAUGGCCCAAGAAAACACUGUGAAUUGAAACUCACUCCCAAUAAAGGACAAUAAUUAAAUAAAAAUAAAAACACAUUUGACAGCCCACAACAAAGGCAAAUCUCAACAGCUUUUGCAUGUGUCUGCCUGCUGAAUCAAGCAGUAGUUCCUGUCCCCACAGUGCUGCAGGAUGAUGGAUCACCAAAAUGACAAAAAAUCAGAGUAAUAUUUUGCAGUGUAUUCUUUCUCCUCUCUGGAAUCUUGGAGAACAUCAGACACAUUAAUUAAUCAUCUCUAUUUUCCUGAGGUUUACUGUUAGACCCGUUUAACAGGUGGGUAAACCACUGCACAAAAGUGUUGUGACUUGCCUUCUCUGAACUCUACACCUACAUUGGGUCAUGAUGCUCCAGCACUCCAGGCUUUAUUUAGAACAACUCUGUCAUUUCUUUAAUGGUAGGCAAUUUCCCUUCCUUUAGGAUGGAUCUUACAUCCUCACGAUUUGCAAUUUAAAUAUCAUGGGAGAUGAAUGAGUCAAUGGUAAAAUUCCCAUUGAGUUUAAGGAGUGUAAGGACAUGAGAUUUAUUUCUGAAGAGCUUGUGUGCUUGAAAGCAUUUGUUUUUCAUCUCCCCUCUGGCCCACAGUGUUAUUAACCAGUUAAAUAACAGGUGUUGCCUCUCCUAGCAGAUUUGUCCCCUGAUUUGAGCUUUGUGCAACCAGAUUGUCACUCACUUAGCAGAAGACCACAUCAAAUGUGGAAAGGAAAGGUUACUGCCAUUUUAUACAGUACAGUGAAAUAAUUUCCAGUUUCAAUUUUGAAUACUGUUUUGGUCACUUAAACUUUGUUAAUCAAUGAGUUUGUAUUGCAGUAUGAAAGAACAUUCCCGUGGAGGUAAGAUUUCUAAACUUGCACCUGUACCUGAUAGGAUAACAACUAUGGCACCAAAUUACGCCAGCUGAUUGCAAGCCUGUGUCAUGUACCAGUAGAAAUUACCUUAAGCUUUUUCAGCUUUACAGAUUUUCCUAUAGUGAGGCCAUUCUAUUAAUCAGGGGAUAACACAGUAGUUUCUGCCCAUAGUGUGUGAGCUGCAAUCAAUGGCAUACAAGAUUUCAAAAGCCAUAUUCCAGCAGCUUUCUCACCAGUCACAAGUGUAUGGAGAAAAGUCAUGUGUCCUUAAUCAAACAAAUUAGUAAUGUAGAGUUUAUUUCCACUUGGCGCCAAAAUAGUGAGGACAUUGGCACUUCUCCUUCUGUUGUCUCUUUGGCUUAUUUUCUUGUGCCCAGUGUUAGAUGACGGUAGACGCCAGUUUCAGCUCACAGUCUCCUGGACAGUGCCUAGGACAGCUUUCACAAAGAAGAAGGGGGAAGGGGAGAAGCUCACAUGCUGCUGUGUUACCCUUCUUCAUCCCUAUGGGAUUGCCUCUUGUUCUACUGCAGACCUGAGAGGCUGCCUUUUCACUCAGUUGAUUUAAUUUAAUUAGCCUCUGUGAAGCAGAGAUUUAAAGUUGCUAAACCAAAGCUUACAAGAAUCCAGUUGACAAAAUGCAAGGGACAAAAUCAAAAGCUAAUUUUUUGCAAAGUUCACUGUGGACCAGCGUGAAAUACAUGGUAAAGAUCAAAAAGUCUUAGAUAUUUGUCAAGAAUAUGAGGCUUCAAAGACAGGGUAAUUUAGCUUAAUUCUGAAGAGCAUUAGCAGACCCGCAAUAAAGAAUUAAAUCUUGUCUCUUGUGCUUCAGUUAGAUUUUCAGAUAUGCAGUUCUGUAAUUCAGCAAAAUACCACACAGUAUGUGCAAAAUAAUAAUAAAAAUAUUCCUUGACCCAUUUUCUUAAGCUUUAUUCCCAAUUAUCUUUGUUGCUUCUGAAAAGGUUAUUUUUUAUUUCAGGUAUUGAAAUAUCUACAGCUGUUAUACUUCAAAAGUUCCUCCUAUUUUAAAAUAAAUUACAUUUUCUGUUUUUUUUUUCCCAUUUAAAUCUAUCAAUUUUUUAUUGUAUCCAGUGUGUUCUUCUCUCUCUGAUAUUAGCUCUUUUAAUUUACUUCAGUUGACUCAUUUAUUUUCUUGCUAUCUUCUGAGGUUUGUAACAGUACUAACUGGUCAAUCAAAACACAGCAGGAGCUAAACUCUUCACCUUCACAGCUGACAUUCUUUCCUCUUUAGAAGAAGCCAAAUCCUGGCUUCUUCUUUUACCUCUGUCUUCGUGAGGUUUUGGAAACAGUGUCUAUAAUCCUAGAUUCCACACAGCCCCAGUAAUUCCUUAUUUGUAUAACCUCACCAAGGUUGAAGGAUUAAGUGGAUCUCUCUCUCUCACAAGAAUACUUUGUGGAUCCAACUGAGCUGUGUUGAACUGAAAAGUCAUGCUCUAGAAAAUGUGUUUCUUACUAUACAGUCCUUUUCGUGUUACAUUUUACUCUGAGAAGUAAUAAAUUAAGAGCCAGUGACUGUUCAGUAAGUCAAAAAGGAAGAUAAAUAAAACAAUAAUUUAUCAAAUAUUAACUUAUAUUUUUUCUUAUUUUAAGCAUGCUUUUCUGAAAUUCUGGAAGCUGAAUGCUCUGUUUUGUCUACUCUAAUUGAUUUCAUUUUUAUCUCAUACUUUUCAUUGUGGAGUCUAUCAUGCUUCAUCUAAUUCUGAAUGUGGAAAUGAUUGUGAAAUUAACACGUUAGACCAGUACAGCAAACUUGUCUCUCUCUCACAAGCUGCUGCACUCAGUCACUCAGUGCCUUUCUCUCAGUUGAAUUAUGCAGUGGUCAACUCUCUUCCAUACAAUGGGUUUUGCAAGACUGCUGAAUGGAUGUUUUUGGCAUGGUCUCAUUUAGCAGAUAUUCCCAUGUGGUUUCCAUGCAUCCCCAUACUAAUGCUGUUCUCUGUGUAAACACAUGGAUUGCAUUACUCGAUGCCCUUUUGAUCUAAACAUAAAAUAAAUUUUUUUUUUAAAUAUCCCAAACUAAUAAGAAGUCGGAUUUCAUUUCAAGCUACUGGGCAACAGCACAGUUUCCCCUCUUAUGGAUCUUUCACCUGUGGCUACAAUCCUAGAUGCAUUCUGAAUCACUCUUUUCUCUUCUGCUGGCACUGGCUCUUCCCUUGAAUUUAUGUGUGUGUCUGUGUGAUUUUUCCCUUACUCUUAUUUUCUGGCUUCAUAACCUCCCAUGAGUCUUCAACCACUGCUAAAAAAUGCCUGCUUGCUUCUGCUGGGUGGGAAAACAUUAAAACACUGGGAAGGAUGGUCAUUCUCUCUUUGCCAGCCUGUUUUUUUGAGGCAGAUUCCCCACUGGUGUAAAUAGCUGAGCUUCUAUGAAUUCAUGUUACUUACACUGAGGAUCUGGGCCUUUGAUUUACUUUUCCCAGCUGUAGCCAUACUGGCUUGUUCAUUUACUUUUAUAACUGUGCCAUUCAAUUCCAUCUGAGCACUACUAUGGUGCUGUGAUUUAGCUUAGACCCUACUUAACACAAAAUUUAUUAUCUUGAUAGAUAAAUGAUUACUGUAUACUAUUUCUCCUAAUAACUUGCAUACUUCUGAUAACAUAAUGUGUUGAGCACAUUGGAUGCAGAAUGGUCCCAGGUGCUUUAUAACAUAGUAUAUGAGCUAUAUAGGAAGAUAACUUUGCUCCCUACUGAAAUGCAGCCAUCUCUGCUGUGAAGCACACAUAACCACACUGCAGAAAAUGUUGGGAUGCAAAGUCGUGUCCAAUUGAAACUGCAAGGGGAAUUUUGUGUAAGUAGAAUAUAAUUACCCAAGCUGGAUGUCAGCCAGGAUUCAGGGAACACCCUGGAUUUUGGAGGAACUGCCAAUGGGAGAUGGAGAUGUUACUACAGGCAUACAUGUUCUCAUUUCUUGAUUAAUUCCAAGAGGAUAAGUUGUUGUCUUUUAAUUUCCUCUUUACUGCUUAUCUUUUUUUUUUAUCAGCUGCUCUUUCUGUAGCCUUAUUAUGCGUCAUGUUCUGAUUUCUCUCUUCUUACAUUUCCUCUCUUACAUUUCACACAUCCCAGUGUUCCCCCCCUCCCCAAACAUUCUUUCAUCCAAAGUCCUAGCAAAAAAGACAAAAUUAUCUGUUUACAUCAUGUUGCUGAAUAAAAUGUUUGCUAUAUGAGGGUAAUAGAUUUCUCCAUAUAAGUACAUACAGAAUUUGCAGAAUCAAAAAUAGUAAAGUAUGUUUGUUAGUUUGUUUUUCCCCUUGAUACUUAAUUUUCUCCCCUCCUUGCCAAGAUCAUGCAAUUGAAGAAUGGUGAAAUACUCUAAAUGUUGUGUCCAUACCAAGACCUCCCCACACACAACCCUCUCCCAAACUGCUUGAGGCUUACACUCAAAUCAUUGUCAGAAACUUUCAACUAGGAAAGGGCUUGAUGCUGGAAAGCCAUGUGAUACUGAGGUGAAUAUAGGAAGUCAGAAAAAUGAACUCUAUAAUUCUUCAUUUCGCAGUAUAAAGCAGAUCUCCACUGGCUCCUGAGCCAUAGCGCCAGGGUGCCUUGGCAGCACACUCUGGCACAGCUAACCUUGGGCAAGGCUUUCACUCCAAAACAUGUCACUGAGUGUCAUGGGCUGUAUUUCAGUGUCUGCUCUACCAGUGAUCAACUGUCCAACACUUUGUUAGAGGCUUAGACCAACUUGAGAGAUUUGGAACAAUCUUUGGAUUCCAUGGGCAAGGACUCACUGUUCAGAGUGGCUGGGAUUACUGUUUGUAUGUUUGUGGAAAAAGAGGUCUCCUUCAUCUGCAGGCAUCAAAAUCUUGGUAAAAAUGAGAAUCUGCUCCCUUAUCUUUCACAGUAACUAUUAAAUAUAUGAAACAUUUAGUGGACAGUAUGCUGGCUGACCCGUGUCUCUCCCGCUCAAAGUAGCAUGUUCCUCUUUACUCUAAUGCAAUUUUUCACUCUACUAAGUGAAAUCAAAUGUCAAAGUUCCCUAAACUUUGCUGGCUGAAAUGUGAUUUUUUCUCCUAACUUUGUUGCAACAUUGUCUCACUUUCUGUGUGAAAUGUUCCACUGUAAUCAAAGGCUGAUGAAAUAUCAAGGCUCGAUUAAUUAUUAUAGUGCCUAGCAGCAGUGCUGGAGUUGGUGGGUGGAGAACUCAUUCCUUUCAAUUUUGCAUUGAGAUCUAUCCUGUAACAUGAGUUCUCAGGUCAAGAUCUCAACAUAUACUUUGUGGAGAGUUUCAUUCAAUCUUCACACAUUAGGAGAUGUGCUCUUCAAUAUCGAUACAGUCCUAAAGUAAAUGUUUAUUUGUUUUACUUUGAAUACCAUCCCCUUUUUUCCCUUACCUGUGCACCUUGAAUCAAUUUGAAAUUUUAGAGUUAAUGUUGUGUUUGCUGAACUGAUUGUCAGAUGGUUUAUGUGCGCAUGAUGAAUCCCUAAUAAAUUGUCAACUAACCAUGCAACCAUGUGAGUGAAGGGGAUGAUGGUUACAACACGAGCUAGUGUAUUUUAGAAUGAAAAAUAGAAAAAUCUUGUCAGUAUGUCCUUCUUGUUCUUGAAGCAAGAGAGAAUCAGAGCUUUCCUUUUGGCUGGAGAUUCGGCAGAUGUUCAUUUUAGUGUACUUAAUUAGAUGCAUUGUCAGUGACAUGAACUUUUGUUAAGGGAAACUAAAAAUACUUGAAUUAUAAACAGAAAUUGAGUGUAAUAAUUGUACAUAUUAUUUACUGGAAAGAGUUGAAUUUAUUAUUAUGGACAUAAUUGUCAUCAGGGUUAUCACUCUUAUUACAGCUUUGCUGAGAUGGUAAUUCCAAAGCCCAGAGGAGACAACUGUGCUAUACAGAAGGUGAACAUAAAAUGAAAAUCAGGUCCCUGAUCCAAACAGUUUGCAAGCUAGGGAAUAAAAAAAAAACCUAUAGUUUCUGAAAGAAGAAUUCAUUUGUGAUUAAAUAUCUUUUAUUUUCUAUCAGAUGAUUUAUAGAUGCUUUUAAAACUCUGGAACUGCUCAAAACUUCAUUGAAAUCAAUGCAAAAGCACAGCUAGGACUGAUUUAUUCCUUGUCAUGUGAAAUCCUACAGUUUAUCCAUACCAGAACCAUUUUCUGUAGAACUAAAACGAAACCACUGCUGGUGUGAAAUACAGCAAGUUUUACACACACGGUUUCUUCCAAAAGAAAAAGAAAGAAAGAAAGAAAGAAAGAAAGAAAGAAAGAAAGAAAGAAAGAAAGAAAGAAAGAAAGAAAGAAAGAAAGAAAGAAAGAAAGAAAGAAAGAAAGAAAGAAAGAAAGAAAGAAAGAAAGAAAGAAAGAAAGAAAGAAAGAAAGAAAGAAAGAAAGAAAAAGGAAAAAGAAAAGUAAACGAAAAAGGCUUGACUAUUUAAUGGCAGAAAACAAACAAGUCUAUCUCACCAAGAUUCCUGGCAGAGUGCGAGCAGAUCUGGCCUAGUGCAAUUCUUGUCUUCUUUUGAGUUUGCUGAGGAUACUGGCAUAAUCUCUCUGUUUUUUUCCAUCUGAUCUCAAGUGACCGCAACUGUUCAGGGCUUUGGUUUUCUCUGAUCUAAAUGAUUGCAGCUCAAGCACCAGAGUGUCCCCAAGCACCAUGCUGGGAGGCUGGCUCCGCACUGACUCAGAGGGAGCAUUCCCAUCUAGCUGACUCACCAGCACUCAAGUGCACUGCCAGCGAUCCAGAUACUAAACUGAUCCUAUCCUCCAUCAUCAUGGGGAGGGGGAGGGAGAACAGAUAAAUUCUUAAAAAUGAAAUACUGAUGGUACUUAGUGCAUCAAUUGGGCCAUUUUGCCAUAUGCAAGAGACCAAACAAAACAAUUUAAAUGUCCAAGUUAUUCAAGUUUGUAAAGCACAUGCUGUGAGAGUUUCUGCUUUUUUUUUUUGUUGUUUUGUUUUUUUCCCAUAGGGUUAUUUAUUACAUAUUGCAUCCAGACAAAUUCGUUGUCCUUUCAAUGGGACUGCACAAGUAGGGUUUUCAAACUUAAUUUUUUCCCCUCUAUCUAGACUCUGUGAAAUGUAUGUGAGGAGAGAGUUUGUAUAGUCAUUAUCUUUUAUUAGAUUAACUGAUACAGUUGGUAAAAAACAAGCUUUAAGGCAAAUAAGCUCUUCAUCAGGUUUCAAAUCAUGUAAAGGCAGCAAUGGAAAAGAGCAUACAAUAUGAUUUACUAUUAUUUUUGGGUUUGUUUUCAUGUUAGGUUUGUAAAGUUUCUUUCAAUGUAACAAAUACUGCAUUUGUAGCAGUUUUUUUGUUUGUUUGUUUGUGUCAGAUGCUUUUAUGGUCUACAGAACAAA